rnacentral:lncRNA from 1 species
CAAGAUCAAAUGCACUGUGUCCAAAUAUUUUAUCUAAAAUGAAAAGAAAAACACUUGCUCAUCUUUCUUCAUGGUUUGUCCAAUCAGAUGCAUCAGAAAAAAGAGAAUUAGAUUGGGGAAGACGUUUUCGAAUUAUAGAAGGCAUUGCUCAAGGAGUACUUUAUAUCCACAAGUACUCCAGAUUGAAAAUCAUCCACAGGGACCUAAAAGCAAGUAACAUACUGUUGGAUGGAGCCUUGAACCCCAAAAUUUCAGACUUUGGAAUGGCAAGGAUUUUCGGGAUAAAUCAGACUGAAGCAAAUACCAAUAGGGUUGUUGGCACAUAGUAAGUCUACAUACAUCUGGUACAUGUUUUCAUUGAAGUAAUGUUCUAUUGCUUACUUCUUUACAUACUGUCAAUUCAUGUGCAGUGGCUACAUGUCACCCGAAUAUGCGAGAUAUGGUCAUUUCUCUGAGAAAUUAGAUGUAUUCAGCUUCGGAGUGUUGUUGUUGGAGAUUGUGAGCGGAAAGAAGAAUGCUGCUUUUUAUCGCCUUGAACAUUCACCAACUCUUGCUGGAUGGGUAAGUACUGAAAAACUAUUCCAGCUAAUGAUCAUUCUGUUUUUAAGCCCUUCAAAUUCGCAAAUGACCAUACGUUCAACAUUUUAAUUAGGCAUGGGAGUUGUGGAAAGACGGAAGAGGAAUGGAGGUGAUUGAUGAAUCAGUAAGGGAAACAUACCGGCUCGAUGAAGCUUUGAAGUGUAUCCAUGUAGGGUUUUUGUGUGUUCAAGAAGCUCCAACUGAUCGGCCAACAAUGUCUUCGGUAAUUCGUAUGCUGCAGAGCAAUGAAUCUACAUCUCUUCCACCUUUCAAAGAACCUGCCUUUUCAACACACAAAAAUUCCAAUCCUGUUUGUUCUUCUCAAAUGCCUACCAUUUUUUCCUACAACACAGUCACCAUGACUUUGCCAGAAGGUCGAUAGGCGUUGGAGAGCGGUGACUAGCAAGCAGUUGAGAAAAUAGUAUAGUAUAUUAGAAUAAACACCCCAACAACUAGCAGUUUUAUACAACACUCAAGGGGUUCAAUUACACAUUACCGGAUAUGUUUGUGCAGUUUAUGGUUUUUGCCCAUCCAAACUAAACCUAUAAUAGUAGCAUAUUAGAUUUAUGUUAUGUAUUUUUCAACUGCAAAUAUGGGCGUAACCAUACUUCAAGAUAUGUUCCCGCUGCACCCCUUGGUGCAACUGUAUUUAUAUUAAAUUAAAAUGGAAUGUCACUUGUAUCAAAAGAAUAAAGUGGGUAUUUUUUUUACAUCUUCCAACUUUCAGAAGACAAAAACUGAAAACAAAAUUGGUCUAGAACAAAGGAUUUUACGUUAGUAUAUCCAUAAUUGGCAACAUGGGUUUUCCUAUGGUUGUAAUAGAAAAUUUGAAAUCAUCAUAUAGAAUCUACCGAAUGCAAGUUUGGCAACUAGAACUAAAAGUAAACUAUGUCCCCAGUCAGUUUUUUUAUCGACGAGGAUUCGAACUUAAUGCCUCUUUUAACAUUGAAAAGCAAAAUAUCAGUAGAACACUUGAUUCGCCUGAUCAUGUUAAACUCAAGCUUUGUCAAGCUGGAACACAUGCACCAGUCUGCUCGAACUAUAGAGGAACUGAAUGCACCCUGCAGAUCAAGUCAAUAAUAAAUCAAUUAAACAAACAGUUAGUGAAUAUCACUUCGAUCUAGAAAAUUUAUGGACCUGGAUAGUUUCACUUACAAGCUACAACUACAAAACAAACCACCGUAAGAGUGUGGAUCAACCAACGAAUGCGCCAUUUAAUAUCAUAUCAUCAAUUUGAGUUCAAUUAUCACCAAAGUAAGAGUCAGUUUGGUUACAAUUAGCACUAGUAAGGACAUCAGUUUAAUCUCGAACUCCGCCGCCAGUUUCGGCAUUAUUGUUCUCCACAACCUUGAAACCCAUGGUUGUGCUGAUUCUUUAUCGGGAUGAGCCCGAAAACACAAACAGAGAAAAGAAAAAAAGUUAAGAUUAAACUUAUGUUUGAGAGAGACAACAUGAGUAUGGUAUAUACAUGGAGGAAGUACAAAUAAAAUGUGUCAGUUUUGGGGCUUAGUUUUUUUGCUUCAAGUUUCUUCUUUUGAGUUUCUCUCGUACUUGUUUUCUUUUCUGAGAUGAAACCAUAGACGUGAAAACCAAGGGGAAAUAAGAAGAAAACUGUUUGGCUUCCUAAUAUGAUUGUUGAUUCUCUUACAAGUUUUUUCAAUUGGCUUGGGUUACUUGUAAACUCAUAUUCUUUCUUUUUUUCUUUUGUUCUUCAGUCAUCAAAGAUUCAUAUUGAUUCACGAUAUGAAUGGUUCAACUGCUAAUAACAAUUUAGUUUAGCGACACUUCGUCUUUAUAAUUCUAAAAGUCGAGUUCUUGUCUCAUGGCUUAAAUCGCUAAAUAGGAAUGUUGUCGGUAAGGUUGGUGGCAUUGUUUCUUGUUACUUUUUUCUGCCUGAUUUGGUUUCCCGUAUAUUUGGGUCCCUACAAUUGUGAUGUUACCCAUUUUGAUGCAAAAUGGAGGCAGGGUACUUAUGCUUCUUGUUUUGGAUAGAGAGUCUCAUCUUAUCCAACUAAACGUGUAAUGUGUUGAUUUUUAUUGAAUAGAGAUUUGCUUUUUAAAAACGUAAGCAACUCCAUGAGUGAGUGAUACCACUAAAACUAUACACACAAUGCAAAAGAGAACAUCUUGUUAGUUUGGCAAGUAAAUCCUGUUUCAAUCAAAAGAGAGAGAUAAUGUGGUUUAGUAAGCAUUGGAUAGAUCAUGCUUGUGGGAAUGGUAGGUGGUCUUGCUCAUUGGUCAUUGCUUGCUUCAUUCACUGAUUUUUCAAACAAUUAUUGCGUGGAACGGAAACAUCAGGUUAAUUGUUGUGUGUGUCAAUGUUAUGUUAAUUUUGAUAAAAUUACAUGUACAUGUGUUGUAGGAAUCAAAUUGAUGAACAUCAUAAAUAACACAGAGCAGGACGAUAAUUGAUAACACUACGUAAUCCUCUAGCUAUUAACGUUAGAACAUUUCCCUAAAAUCACGUCGUUCAUCACGUUUGCAUCCACACAUAAACAAACGUGAAAGACGCGACAUUGAUUGAUAUAAAAUGCAGAGGAUGAUAUUGAUGACUCAAAGGAUAAACCGCAAAAUAAUUGGAUCACACAAUGACAAAACUGUAUAGUACCAAGUGUUGUAAAGGUUAGUUGUAGGAUGUAGCCUACUAACCACAUGGAGUAAUACUAAGGAAAUUAAAUAUAUAGAUUAAAUUUGUAAACUGACUGAUGUAUUAUCAAUAGGAAAUAAACACACUUAUCAACGUUUAAGUAAUAAUCUAAUCAUCAACUUUCAUAUUAUUUAGUUUACAAAUUUAAUCUUCUUAGUAUUAUUUCAAGUUACUGUCCGAGGGAGUGGAGUGGGACCAACUCGGUUACCUCAUCGGUUCAUCCUGCAAAAUAACUGAACUUAACAAGUGCCACGCGUCAGUUAGAUAAUGACUAAUUUCAUUUUAUUUUUGUUAAUUAAUGAAUAUUACAGUUGCUCCGCAACUCACUCUUUUCUUGUUGAGUGACUUGAGGAAGCAGUCUCGUCUCACUUGAUCAGCCCCUCAAUUCUGGUCAACUUUUCCCAAAUGACGAUCUUGUCCUUCUUCACCAGAGCUUCAAGAGCUUUCAAUGGCCACCCUUCUGCCUCCAAGCUUCUGGUGCUUUGUACUAUCAGGUUCUCAAUUUUCUUGCUUACCAUGAAUUGGGUUGAAGUAUUUUCUAUCAUAACAUAUAAAGACACAUUCUUUUUUAGUUUUGGUUAUUUUCCUAUGAAGUAUCAGUUUUUUUCCUAGUUUAAGCAAAAUGUCAGCUCAUUAACUCUGAAUCUAAACUUUUCCUUGAAUCUCAGUUUAUCAACCACCAGACACUAGACUUUGUUUGGUUACUGAGAAAAUAGACUGCAAAUGUUUGUUUUGGAGUUUUAGCUAUGCUGAAUUUAUUCAAGGGAGAUUUUGGACGGUCAUUGGUUAUGAAUAUUUUUUUAUUGAAAUCUUCUUUGUUUUUAAUUUUUGAUCGAUGUUACUGAAAUUAAUGUGAUAAUUUAUUUAUAUGUACGUUACUAUAUUUUUUUAAAUUAAAAAUUAGAAAUUUUAGUUUUUAUUGUGGGAUUAAAAAUAUUAAAAAAAUAAAUAUACUAUUGUGUGUGUGUAUAUAAACAUGGAUACAUUCAUCAAAAUUAACCAAAAAAUUUAUUGUAUCAAAACUGACACACCCCAAUCCUAGAAUCAAGGCGUGAUGGCCGUCACGUGAGUGUGACGUAGCCAAAAGUGCGACGUGGAAGCAAAAGAUAAGAGAAAUAUGCAGGAAUUUAAAACAACUACUAGCAAUAAUAUCCAACUAGCAUGAUAAAGUGAGUUUAACAGUAAAACACACAAUUUCAGAGCGUAAAUACUAGGUGCAGUCAAGUAGGACUAUAAUUAAAUUACAACACCCGCAAGUGAGUCCUACAUGCAGGACGUAUGUCAGAACGCCGAAGAGAACCUUGUGAGCCACCAAUUGCUAACUAGAACCUGGAGGGGCGUAAAACAAAGUUGAGUGGGUCAGUAAAACCAAAGUUUUCUAAAACAUUUCAUUUAAAACAUUUCUAACCCCUCACUGUAAAACUUGUAUACUUUCCCAGAAAAUAACAUAAUAGCAUAAUAUUUGCUCAAAUUGCUCAAAACAUCAAUUUUAUCAAAAUCCAGUAAAUAUGCCAAGCAAUAAUGUCAACGAUUGAAAUAUGGAUGCAUCAAUAUGACAGGUGAUAUAAUGAAAUAACCGGAGACCCUUCGGCUGGCCCUGUACGGUUCAUUCUAUAGCUCAUUAUCCGACCCAACCGGAGUCACCACAGUGACCUAUACGGCCCUACUCUGCACAUCAAUCGGAACCACCUAAGGUAGUCUGUACGAUAGAAAAGGUGUACGAAUACGCUCUAGUGCUUCUCUCAUCAAUCAUCGGCGCGCAUAAUCUAAAGUCACCUACUAGUCGGAACCACCUCUAGCGAUCUAUACGACUAGCAUGUCGGAACCCUCACAUGGUCUGUACGACAUUCACCUACUUGGAUCCAAGGUGAGCGUGCGGUGCGGUGAAUAAUAUAAGCACUAACACCAAGGGUGCAAGUUAUGAGCUCUCAAUGCAAUUCACAUUAUAAUAAAUCAUAUAAAUAACGAGAAACUUAUCUGUACGUCCACAGCACCAAUUCAUAUAUAUAAAUGCAUCAAUUAUCAAUUCAUAUAUCUCAUAGUAUGCAUGCAUGACAUUUUAAAACGUAUUUUCAUAUAAUUUCAUUUUCUGGGAAAAUCAAUAGUAUAUAGGUAAUACGAAAACAAAACUGCCCACUCACUGGUAAGUCGAUGGGUCGUAACCCCCGUGACGUCCCUAGAUGUGCUUGUCCUCGGGAUAGGUGUCACCUAUAUGUGAAACAACUAUAAAAAUGUUAAUUAAAACACAUAACCGACAAAUCGAAAUAACUUCUCACACGGUGCUCAAUUUGGGUAUGUGAAUAUACCACAUCGACCUACUCGUCGUCACGAACGUCGAGGAAUUUUUAAAAUAAUUUUUUGACGUGGCAUGCGCCAGGGCAGGCACGGGGACACGUGCCCCCCACGCGCGUCUUCUUCCCUGGGUUCGCCGGACUGUGUUUUCCGGUAGCCGGAAAACUGGGGAUUUUUCAAUCCCCUUGUUCUCCUUCAUUUUUCACCCAUUUUCUUCAUAUUUUAUGUCAAAAUGAAGCCCUAAGCAUGUAGUUUCACAAUAUACUACUUUUAAGGCUCUAAAAACAACUAAAUCCCACAGGAAAACUUCCAAGAAAAACCGGCCAAAAUCGAACCUAGUGAUUCCAACGUCCAAAACCUUCAAACGAAGCACUCCGAGCUUCCUUGGGACCUCACUAAGCUCACUAUAAGCUUAGAAUUCCCUGAAAUGCAACAUAUCACGAUUGCAUGAAUAGUGACAUAAAAUGGGGGUUCGGGUUCCACGUGAUUUCGAAGGUUUCACUUCCUAAAAGUAGCACCAAACGACUCAGGAGGUCGAAAGGAUGAAGAACCAUACCUUUUUGGCUUCGAUCCGUGGAGUUUUGAUGUCCUUGGUCCAUGUCCGUACAAUUUCGAAGGGUGAGGGAGAUAUAACGGGGAAGAGAAAGGGAAAGCACAGGGGAAAGGGAGAGAGAGAAGACUGAGUGUGUGUGGUCCACCCUAAACCUUAACCACACAAAUAACAACCCAUUAAGCUAAUAAAAUUUUCCAAACUUAGGAAAAUAAACUUUAUGAACAAAGUAUGUCACACACUCACCUUAGUAACGUCAAGGGCAGCAUCGUCAUUUCACGUCCUCGAAAUAUAUAUUUCCGGAACGGGCUGUGACAAAAACAUGGAUACAUUCUUCAAAAUCACAAAAAAAGAAAAAGAUAUUAGGCUUUAUAAUAUUAGUAAAUUUCUUCAAUUAAACUUGACAUGAAUACAUUUUAAAAUCAAAGAAAAAAGAAUGUACCCAUAUAAGUUUAAAAAUAGAUUAGAAAAAAAUUGAAUAUAUUUUAUAUAAAAAAAGGUACAUUUUACAUAUAACAAAUUGGUAUAUUUUAGAAUGAGUACAUUUUAAGAUUAAAAAGUUUUAUAUGAAUGGGUACAUAUAAUUAGCAUGGGUACAUUUAGCAAAAUAAAAAGUACAAAUACAAAAAAUAUAUAUGGGUACAAAUACAAAUAAAAUUUUAAAAGAAUAUAGGCACAAAAAGAAAUUAAUAUAUAGGUACAAAUUAAAACUGAAAAAAAAAUGGUACAAGUUAAAAAAGAAUUACAAAUUAAAAAUGGAUACAAACUAAAACUAAAAAUAUAUGAUAAAAAAUUUAGUCAUAAAUAUAAAUAUACUAAUUGUAACAUUUUUAACAUUAAAUGAAUAUAUUUAGAAAUAAAAAAUAUUUUAUUAUUGAAAUAAUUAAUGAUGUUAUUAAUACCAAGGACCUUGAUAAAAAAUUGAAAAGGAAUAAGAUUUUAAUCAAUGAAGUGGAAAAAAGAAAGGAUGAGAACCUAAUUUCUCCUGUAUUUAAUUUGCUCUCUGUUUUCUCAGCAACAAAACAUGCCUUUUGAGGUUGUUAAUUCUUUUCAUGUGAUCUUUCACUGUGGAAAAGAAUCCUCACCUCUUAAGUUACCCUUUUGCUUGAUUAGCUUGAAGGCCUACAAUCAGUUUACAUAUUCUGUGACAUCCCACAUCGCUCAGGGAAAUGAUCCUUAAAUGUAUAUUCCUAUCCUUACCUAGCACGAGGCCUUUUGGGAGCUCAUUGGCUUCGGGUUCCGUAGGAACUCCGAAGUUAAGCGAGAAGGAGCCAGAGCACUCCUAUGAUGGGUGACCCACUGGGAAGUUGCUCGUGAGUUCCCAAAAACAAAACCGUGAGGGCAUUGUCGGGGCCCAAAGCGGACAAUAUCGUGCUACGGUGGUGGAACAGGCCCAGGAUGUGGUGGUCCGCCCCGGGCAGGGAUGUGACAAAUGGUAUCAGAGCCAAUCCCUGGCCGGAAGUGUGCCGACGAGGACGUCGGGCCCCUAAGGGGGGUAGAUUGUGACAUCCCACAUCGCCCAGGGAAAUGAUCCUUAAAUGUAUAUUCCUAUCCUUACCUAGCACGAGGCCUUUUGGGAGCUCAUUGGCUUCGGAUUCCAUCGGAACUCCGAAGUUAAGCGAGAAGGAGGCUAGAGCACUUCCAGGAUGGAUGACCUACUGGGAAGUUGUUCGUGAGUUCCCAGAAACAAAACCGUGAGGGCGGGGUAGAGGCCCAAAGCGGACAAUAUCGUGCUACGGUAGUGGAGCGGGCCCGGGAAGUGAUCCGCCCCGGGCCGGGAUGUGACAUAUUCCAAGUACCUUGACAUAGAUCUACUACUAAAAGGGUCAUGUUGAAGAUUUACAAUAGUUUACCAAAGCAUGUGUUUUUACCUUUUUCUUUUGUUUGAAUUGUUCGAUCCACAUUGAUAAGAUCAAAAUCUGUAAGCCCUUAAUCAACCUACAAGUAACACAGAGGAUAGAGAGGAAGAGGGAAGGAAGAUGAAGGAGCAGAGCUCCAGAUAUUUUUGUAUUUAAUUUUUUUCUUGUAAAUUAUGUUCUGAUUUGUUUCCUGGGAGCUAGGCUCCUUUUAAAUAGUUAACUAGGAUUAGGGUUUCUCAUCUUUGUUUUUAAAUCACCAUUUUCUAAUCUUUGUUUUUAAAUAGUUAACUAGGAUUAGGGUUUCUCAUAAAUUGUUUUAAAUAAUGCCAGCGGAAAACGACCUUGCUUGAGCCGUUUAUACUACAACAACCUUGUUCUCUUGCAAGUAUUUUGUUUGAUUUUAUCCCUACUUUUGUAGGUGGUAAAAUACCUAUCAAGUGACGCCACUAAAACUAUGCACACAAUACAAAAGAGAACCUCUUGUUAGUUUGGCAGGUACAUUAUGUUUCAAUCAAAAGAGAGAGAGAUAAUGUGGUUUAGUAAGCAUUGGAUAGAUCAUGUUUGUGGGAGUGGUAGGUGGUCUUGUUCAUUGCUCAUUGGUCAUUGCUUGCUUUAUUACCUGAUUUUUCAAAAAAUUAUUGCAUGGGAUGGAAACAUUAGGUAAAUUGUUGUGUGUGUCAAUGUAUGUCAAUUUUGAUAAAAUUACAUGUACAUAUGUUGUAUGAGUCAAAUUGAUGAACAUCAUACGUUAUACAGUGCAUGACGACAAUUGAUAACACUACGUAAUACUCUAGCUAUUAACAUUAAAACAUUUCCCUAAAAUCACAUCGUUCAUCACAUUUGCAUCCACACAUAAGCAAACGUGAAAGACGCGACAUUGAUUGAUAUCAAACGUAAUACUAAGGAGACUAAAUUUACAAAUUAAUUAAUGUGUCACCAAUAUGAAAUGAGCAUGCUUACCAACGUUUAACCAAUAAUUUAAUCAUCAACUUCCAUAUCAUUUAGUUUAUAAAAUUUAGUUUACAAUUUAAUCUCCUUAGUAUUACUUCAAUAAUCACGUUACUGUCCGAGGGAGUGGAGUGGGACCAACUCGGUUACCUCAUCGGUUCAUCCUGUAAAAUAACUAAACUUAACAAGUGCCACGUGUCCGUUAGAUAAUGACUAAUUUCAUUUUAUUUUUGUUAAUUAAUGAAUAUUACAGUUGCUCCGCAACUCACUCUUUUCUUGUUGAGUGACUUGAGGAAGCAGUCUCGUCUCACUUGAUCAGCCUCUCAAUUCUGGUCAACUUUUUCCAAAUGACGAUAUUGUCCUUCUUCACCAGAGCUUCAAGAGCUUUCAAUGGCCGCCCUGUAGCCUCCAAGCUUGUGGUGCUUUGUACUAUCAGGUUCUCAAUUUUCUUGCUUACCAUGAAUUGGGUUGAAAUAUUUUCCAUCAUAACAUAUAAAGACACAUUCUUUUAAGUUUUUUUUAUUUUUCGAUGAAGUAUCAGUUAUUUUCCUAGCUUAAGCAAAAUGUCAUAGAUCUACCACUAAAAGGGUCAUGUUGAAGAUUUACAAUAGUUUACCAAAGCAUGUCUUUUUACCUUUUUCUUUUGUUUGAAUUGUUCGAUCCACAUUGAUAAGAUCGAAAUCUCUAAGCCCUUAAUCAACCUGCAAGUAACACAGAGGAUAGAGAGGAAGAGGGAAGGAAGAUGAAAGAGCAGAGAUCCAGAUAUUUUUGUAUUUAAUUUCUUUCUUAUAAAUUCUGUUCUGAUUUGUUUCCUGCGAGCUGGGCUCCUUUUAUACAGACUCCACUCCUUAAAAUGCCAGCUGGCAUAUUUAGCAAUCCUUAAUAAUAAAAACUAACGCAUAAAACAUUCAAUUAAAUCUCUAAAUCACCGAUUAAGACAAUCACAAUUGAGACCUAUUUUGGGUUCAUAACACACAUUGUCAUAGGCAAGCAAAUGUAGACCAAGUGCAUUAUUUCUAAAAAAAAUGAAGAAAACUUCGCUCGCUUGACCUCAUUCUCGAUCAUAGUUUUUCUGUUUUGAUUUCCGUCUGGAUUAUUGGAGUAGUGGUAGGUCUCGUGGCGUAUGCAGAAUUGCAGUCCAACGUUGGCCCUCCUAUUGUCGAUCCUAAUCAUAAGACAAAUUAAUGAAGAUUGGUCUCAAAUCGAGACAUGCAUUAUCGACUGCUCUUUUCUUUCUUAAACAUUAUUUACUUGAUCUACAAGUCGUGUGUGUUUAACUUUUAUGUCAUGGCAGAGAAAUGGAGAGAUCCAAUAUUGGGAAGCAGAAUGCGUCAAGAUUGAUGCAGCAAAAAAAUGUUUCCAUGCGGGCUAAUUUUGACCAAAACUUUGGUGGGAAAUAAGGAAUUUUCCCUUGAAUAUGACUACUUGGUCAUAGCAUUAGGAGCACAAGUGAACACUUUUAACACCCCUGGUGUAAAGGAGAACAGUCAUUUUCUGAAGGCAAGUCCGAUCCCUUGCGCAGGGAGAACCUACUCGUGGAAACUAUGAUCGCUUGACAGAAACGAUGUAGCUGAGGCAUUGUAAUCAUAGUUCUAGGAUUCGUGUUUUUGUUGGUUUUUUUGUGUUGAAAUGUUGGUUUUGAGUUUCAACUCUACCCUUACCUUUUUCGAUCGGGUGUAGGGUCUGAAAUAACUCAUAAAUUGGAGUGUUGUCUAUCAGCUUCAUCUUGUGUUAUUGGUCGAGACUGGAACAGCACUACAUCUAAUCACACUAAUUUUGUUUCAUUUAUGGUUUUGUGAUUCAUGUUAAAUUUCAUCUAAAUUUAUGUUGGUGGUGACAUCUUUAUGCUCAAUUGCUGCAGCUGGACUCUUUUAUUAAUUGAAUUGGGUUUAAGUAAAUUAUAUAGUAAUAAUAAUUUCUAAACCCUACAGGACCCACCUCGUCUCCACUGAUUAUGUUCUUGAGAGUACCCUAAAAAGGAACAUUUUCUCUUCCCAGCCGUUUCGUCCGUGGAUUCUCUUUCUCUUAUGAUUUUGUUUUUCGAAUGCAAUCGAAUUAGCUGCUAUAUGGACCCUUUCCUAUCUGUUGUUCCCAGCGCUUUCCCAGGCCAAGCUGGAAUUAAAAAAAUAGGAAGGCAAAGCUCUGCUAAUCUUUUUGUUUUUGGGGGAUUUAGAUUUUGUAGUGAUUAAUUAGUUUGCAGUAGAAUCAAGUGGUACGAACAAACAUCGACACAAGAGGAUGAUUGAUGGAGAAAAUGACGUGUGGAAAUCAUUACCUUCGAUUAGUCAUGUGUUGAUGGGUUCAGAUUGUACAAUCUUUUGAUUGGAGUUCAGACCAAAAACAGACUUAGACUUGUAAAUGAAUCUUCUUGUAAACUUUGUGGUACUGCGAAUUUGAAAAUUUUCAACAUAUCUUUGUUUUUUGCGAUCAAUUUUUGUUAGUAAAACUUGUAUUGAUGGGAAAAGAUUAUGAUAAUUAACAACAUUUAAGCUCAAACACUCUUGAACCCCAUUGAAAUAACAUGAACCAUAAUUUGUUGCAAGCAUGUGUGAUUAGUAUGUACAUUAGCUUGCAGUUGAAGCAAUCUCACUCCAACAUUUCCUAAUCUAACUUGAAAUAACACAUCAACAAUGGUCAUGCCCUUUCCAUACGUUGUACUUUCUACGAAGACUAGGUUCAUAUGCCAGCAACCGUGUACGAAGGGUUGAAUACUUGACUUAGUUGACUUGCAAUGAUCACCACAAAAAGGGCAUAUAGGUUAAGUUCCAGUAACAUGCAUACGGUAAAUCUUUGCCUGCCUGCUGAAUUCUUUGUGCAGCCAUGAAUACCAAACCAAACUCAAAGUUCGUGUUCUCCAUUAUUUUAUUAUGUGCAUUUCUCGAGUCCCAUGUUUCCCUUGCAGCUGACACCAUCAGCGAAAACCAAUCUCUCUCGGGCGAUCAAACCAUUGUCUCUGCAGGUGGGAUGUUUGAGCUAGGUUUCUUCAAACCAGGUCAGCUUUCAAACUACUAUAUAGGCAUAUGGUACUCCAAGCAAGUGGCAUCUGAGAUGACCGUUGUUUGGGUAGCAAAUAGGGAAAUACCGGUAUCUGAUAGAUUUUCUUCCGUGUUAACCAUCUUAGAUGGUAAUUUAGUUCUCUUGAACAUGUCCAAAAUCCCGGUUUGGUCAACAGAUUUAAACUCCACUACCAGUUCUGGUUCUGUACUAGCAGUUCUUUUGGAUAGCGGAAACCUUGUCUUGAUAGCCGGCUCUAGUAAUAAUACAUCAGAGCCUUUAUGGCAAAGCUUUGAUCAUCCAACCCAUGCUUUGCUACCAGGAGGUAAACUUGGAUUCAACAAAAUUACAAAUCAUACCCAAUUUGUCACUUCAUGGAAGAAUUUGGAGGAUCCUGCACCAGGUCUUUACUCUCUUGAGCUAGCUCCGGAUGAAAGCAAUUCAUAUAUCUUAUUGUGGAAUAGGUCUAGACAGUAUUGGACCAGCGGACCAUGGAAUGAAAGUCUGCAUACUUUCAACGUGCUUCCUGAAAUGAGGAUAGAUCAUAACUUCAUUUAUAAUUAUGUUACAAAUGAGAACGAAAGUUAUUUCACAUAUUCUUCUAACAAUCCUAAAAUUGUAUCUCAAUACUCGAUGUCUGCCUCAGGACAGAUUCAGCUACUAUGGAUGGAGAAUUCCAAGCAGUGGGAAUUGUUUUGGUCUCAACCAAGACAGUGUGAUGUUUAUGCUUCUUGUGGGGCUUUCUCCAGUUGCAAACCCACAUCCUUCAACUACUGCAAAUGUUUGAAGGGCUUUGUGCCAAACCGGCAGAGUGAUUGGGACUUGCAGAUUUAUUCUGGUGGAUGUUCAAGAAGAACCAGUGUGACGUGUGGGAAUGCUACGGGAGAUGGGCUUCUAAAAUUAAAUAGAGUCAUUGCCUGAUAAUUGAAAAUAUGAUGGUACUCUUAGUAUCGAAAGUUGUAGAUCAGCCUGCUUAAAUGAAUGCCAGUGCACUGCUUAUACUUAUGGCAGCAGCAAUGCAUGUUCAAUCUGGCAUGGAGAUGUCUUGAAUCUGCAUGAAGUUGAAGCAAAUGAAGGUGAUGGAAGUACUUUAUACGUCAGAGCGGCAGCUUCUGACAUCAAGGAAAAACGUAAUAAUAGAAUGAUUAUUCGUGUUGCAAUUAGUGGUCAUUGUUUUGGCGCCAUUAUCUUGAUGUUGUCAACAAAAUCUUUUUCUUCUCUUUGCAGGUGUAAUUAAGCCGUCCCUUUGGAUUGCAAUAGUCUCAACAAUCACUGGUUUAAUUGUUGUCGUUUUUGGCUGUUUCUUAUGGAAGAAAACUACGGGAAAGAAAAGGUACUGCUACCACCGAUCUCAUCUCUCUCUGUGUCUUUUUCUCUCAAACGUGUUCUAAUACUAUGACUAAAACAGAAAGCAUAAGAAGAACCAUACUGAGAGUAAAAGUAAAUUUGAUGUUGGAGGUGGAGGUGGAAAGGAUGAUGCAGAACUACCGAUCUUCGGUUUAAGGGCUGUAGUAGCUGCUACAAACAACUUUGCUGAAGCUGAUAAACUCGGCGAGGGAGGAUUUGGCCCUGUUUACAAGGUGACACUUCCACCAUGUGCUUUAAAUACAAGUACAUUUUUCUUCUCCUGAACACCUUUGUUUAUUUCUGACCUAAACAAAUAUCCAAGGAGAAUUAAAGGACAAAAAUAAAUAGGAGUGUGCAGGAGAAAAAAGCUGUCCAAAAAUCAUUCCCCCUUUCGAAAAUAUGAUUUUUUUUUUUCUUUGAACUUCAAAAAAUGUUCUCUUGUGCGCUUUUCUUCCUCUGUACAGGGAAUUCUGGCUGAAAGUCAAGAAGUAGCCAUUAAAAGGUUAUCAAAAAGGUCAGGCCAAGGACACGAGGAGUUCAUGAAUGAAUUAAAACUUAUUGCCAAGCUCCAACAUACCAGUCUCGUUAGGCUCUUGGGUUGCUGUCUUGAAGAUGAGGAAAUGAUAUUGAUCUACGAGUACAUGCCCAAUCGGAGCUUAGACAAACUUUUAUUUGGUAAAUACAAGCUUAUGACUUAUUAAUUCUUUGUUUCUGCAAAUUAUUUUCUAUUGAUGUUUUGAUGUCUAUUUCAUAUCAUUAACUGUUACAAGAUCAAAAAUACAUAUAGAGGAAGAGACGGGAAAGUAGAAGGGAAAACGAGAGGUGGAGGACAAUGACAGCCCAAGCACUCAUGGUGACAGCCAAAGCACUCCAAAGCACUCAUGGUGACAGCCAAAGCACACAUGGUGAUGGCCUCCACCCUACCUAACUUAAGCCACUAACUUAACUUUACAAUUAUGAGGGAACAUUAUCACUUUAAUUAUACUAGCACUAAGACUAGACAAAAGCUUGCAUUAUUCUUCCAACAUUUAACCCUACUUCCAAUAAUAACUUCCAAUACUCCCCCUCAAGCUGGAUCCAGAAGGUUGAUGGAUCCAAGCUUGGAGAGGAGCCUUUGAAACUGAUGAGAAGCCAGAGGUUUGGUCAAUAUAUCAGCCAGCUGAUCGGAGCUUUUUACAUAAUGCGUCUGAAUCACCUGCGACUGUACUUGUUCACGGACAUAGUGGCAGUCGACUUCAAUAUGCUUCGUCCUCUCGUGAAAGACGGGGUUUGAUGCUAUGUGCAUGGCAGCCUGAUUGUUACAAAAUAAGGUCAUUGGUUGAGCCGUGAACACACCUAAGUCACAUAAAAGUUCUUUCAGCCAUAUUAGCUCACACGCGGUUGGGGCCAUUGCACGAUAUUCAGCUUCGGCACUUGAUCUUGCGAUGACAGUUUGUUUUUUGCUCUUCCACGUGACCAAGUUUCCACCAACAAAGGUGCAGUAACCAGUGGUGGACUUGCGAUCGAUGGCGUUUCCUGCCCAAUCUGCAUCGCAGUACCCCAUGAUUUGAGUGUUGUCAUUCUUCGCCAUGAGGAUGCCACGACCAACGGACCCUUUCAAGUAACGUAAGAUCCUUUUGACAAGGUUCAUAUGCUCGAUGGUGGGGGAGUGCAUGAACUGACUGGCGAUACUUACUGAAUAUGAGAUGUCCGGUCUGGUGAUCGUUAGGUAGAUCAGCUUGCCAACAAGCCUCUGAUAGAAGCUAAUAUCCGAGAGUGGCGUGCCUCCCAAGUCAAGUUUGAGCUUGCUAUCGAGAGGGGUAAGUGCAGGCUUAGCAUCACUCAUAUUAGCGUCCUUGAGUAGGUCCAUGACGUAUUUUCGUUGAUUAAGAAAUAGUCCCUUGUGAGAAUAUGCCAUUUCGAUUCCAAGAAAAUACUUCAACACCCCAAUAUCUUUAAUCGCAAAUAUUUGUUGAAGUGACUGUUUGAGUGUGGAGAUUUCUGCAACAUUAUCACUUGCAAUUAUUAAGUCACCCACGUAUAUCAACACAACUAAUUUGCUCACAUCUCCUGUGCGAACAAAUAAUGAUGAAUCUGCAUUACUCAUUUUGAAACCAACACUAAGAAGGACGGAACUUAGUUUUGAAUACCAAGCACGAGGCGAUUGCUUCAAUCCAUAAAUCGACUUAUGCAACUUACACACCAAAUCAGGCUCUUGGCUUUGAGGGUGUCCUGGUGGCAAUCUCAUAUAGACCUCUUCUUUAAGAUCACCAUGUAGAAAGGCGUUAUUCACGUCCAUUUGGUACAUGGACCAACCCUUAUUGACGGCAAUAGACAAUAUGACCCUAACUGAGUUCAUUUUUGCAACAGGAGCAAAUGUUUCUUUGUAAUCCACCUCAAAUGUUUGAGUGAAUCCUCGAGCCACCAGCCUGGCUUUAUGCCUCUCAAUCGAACCAUCAGAAUUAAACUUGAUCUUAUAGAUCGAUUUGCAGCCCACUGCCCUUUUUCCUUUUGGAAGUUUGGUGAUGCUCCAGGUGUUGUGUUGGUCUGGUGCUUUGAGUUCAUCUCGCAUUGCUUCUUUCCACACAACUUGGUUAUUAGCCUCAUGAAAGUUUUGAGGCUCACUGUGACUUGAAAUGGUGUUAAGAAAGGCAGCAUGAGAUGGAGUUACCUUUUGAUACGACACGCAAUUGGAGAUUGGAUGUCUCGGUUUAUAUGUGACAAAAUCUUGAAACCUCGUGGGAGGUUGUCUAUCACGUCGAGGAUUGCGUCGAGGUACUGGGAGAGUUGUCUCAUCCUCGUUUAAAUUAUCAGCCACACUUUGAAGAUUUUCCAUGUUGCCGCUGUCAUCAUCAUGUACAGAACCAUCAGGGUGAGUGCCUUCAUUGUUGACUUCAGUGAGAGGUGUAGGAGAUUCAUCAAUGUUGUCAUGGUUAGAACCUCUGUCGUUUGAAACAUCUGGAGUGUUGAUUCUUGGUAGAGGAAGUAGGUCUAAGAAACACCCCCCCUGACUUGUGGCUUCAUGUGAUUUGCUGAAAAAAGGGUUAGCUUCAUGGAAUUGUACAUCUUUGGAUACAAUUAUUUUUCUCAUUUGAGGAUCAUAGCACUUGUAUCCUUUUUGUGUUGAUGAAUAACCAAGAAAAAUACAUUUGAGAGCUCUAGGGUCCAAUUUAUCUCGAUGUUGUGGCUGAACAUGAACAAAACAUACACAACCAAAGACUCUAAGAUGUGAAAGUUCGAUUUUUCUUCCUUUCAUGACUUCAAGUGGAGAUUUAAACUCCAAGACUCGGCUAGGAAGUCUAUUGAUGACGUACACAGCCGCCAUGACUUCUUGUGACCAAAAUCUCUUUGGUACAUUCAUUUGUAACAUUAAUGCUCUCGUUUUUUUCCAGUAUGUCACGAUUUUUCCUUUCGGCUACACCAUUUUGUUGAGGUGUACCAACACAACUUGUUUGAUGCAUGAUACCAUGCUUGCUCAAAUAUUGUGACAUGACAUGGGACAUAUAUUCGGUGCCAUUGUCAGAUCUUAAGGUUUGAAUUUGAGAGGAAAAAUGGUUCUUAACAAGGUUGUGAAAAUCUUUAAAAACUUCCAUCACUUCACUCUUAGACUUUAAAAGGUACAACCAUGUGGCUCUAGAGAAAUCAUCAACAAAGAUUACAUAAUACUUAUAACCAUCAAACGAUUCAAACGUUGGUCCCCAUACAUCUGAGUGAACUAGUUCGAAAACUUUACUAGUCCUAGAUAAGGAUGAGUUAAAAGGCAAUCUAGUGGACUUAGACAAAUGACAUGUUUCACACGAAAUUAAAUCAUUCCCUAAGUUUGGAAACAACGAUGACAAAACAGGUUGGGAAGGAUGAGCUAAACUUUGAUGCCACAAUUGACUAUCCUGGGAUGGAUUGGACUUGGCUUGAAAUCCUCUGGGACAGCUCUUUGAUAUGUAAUAGAGACCAUCUAGGUAAAACCAUUCACCAAUCGUCUUCUUGGUGAGACAAUCUUGAAAAAUGACAUUGUAAGGAGAGAAGAUGGCUAAACAAUUCAAGGUAUUGGUGAUUUUUCCCACAUAUAGAAGUUGAAAUGGAAAAGAAGGUACAUAUAAGGCUACUGACUCAAUUUUGCCCGACAUUAAGUUGAUAUUUCCCUUUCCUAAAACCUUGGAACUCUCACCAUUGGCAGUUGAGACUUGAGAAGGUUGUGAAAAUUUUUCAAACGUGUGAAACUUAGAAACAUGAUUGGUCAUCUGAUCUGUGGCACCCGAAUCAACAAUCCAAAAAUCAUGCAUCAUAUUUACUUUAAGAGCAGUUUUGAAAGCAGUCAUGAUACCUAGCAUGUCAUCUCGGGGUAUGUGUUGUGUGUCUGUCAGAAAACCAGCGAACUUGCCUAGCAAUGCUGUUGAGUUUCCAUCUUCAAAACGGACCAUCUGAUCACUCUUAUUCCAUUCUUUCUUGCUUUGAAGAUAUGCUGCAAACUCAUUUAUGAGUGCAGCCGGAUUUGUUGUGAAGCUCUUGAGUGCAUCAAACCCAUGUGAGGUUGCGGCAGAUGUAUUGUUGGCUUUGUGUGUUGCACGGUUCAGUCUUUGUGAGCCCUUGUUAUCCUUCAUGAACUCCGGCUUUAGUUCUGGAUGUAAAAUCCAUCAUGUCUCCUUAACAUGACCAGUAUAGUUGCAGUGUUGGCACUUUAAGUGUGGAUUAUUCACAUUGUAUUUUCUUUCGUUGGUUAGGUAAGCCCUUGCUUCAGUUACACUGGUCUUUGUGCCAAUGUUCAUAAACUUUCCUUCGUACUUCUUCACGUUGGAUUGUUGCACAUACACUGGUGAAUGAAGGUAGUUCGGGGUUCAUGAGUAUGUGACUUCGUAGGUCUUCGUAUCCUGAAUCGAAGCUUGACAAGAAUUGGAAUAUCUUGUCUUCUUCUGCCCUUUUCAGUAGUACCGACGCUUCAGUUGUAUGAGGCGAUACAUUUCCAACUCAUUCCACCUGCUCUUCAUGCUGCCUAGAAGUUGAACAAAGGGCUUUCCUUAUUGUUAUAGGUUGGAAAUGUCCUUCUUCAAUUAAAACACACGUGCAGCAUUAUUCUGGCUGCCAUACAUCUCCUUGACUGUCUCCCAUAGCUUGAAUGAUGAUUCAAAAUAACUGAAUAUUUUAGCUAGUUUACGUUCCAUGGAAUUUAGGAGCCAUGACAUAACUAGUUGAUCCUUGCAAAGCCAGGUUUCAUAUGUUGGUGAGGAAGCAUUAGGAACUUCGAUGCUUCCAUUUAUGAACCCUAGCUUGGACCUUCCACCUAGGGCAAGACUCACUGCUCUCGACCAAGGUAAGUAAUUAAACUCAUUUAACAAGACCGAGCUUAAUCUUUGAUUUGGGUUGACAUCCACCUCAGACAAAGUUAAGGAGGAAAGUAUCUGGGAAUUUUCCGCCUCAGACGAAGAAGAAUUUUCUUCCGCCAUAUCGGAGAUGGAGUACGAUCAGAUGGUGGGAGUGCAGAAGCAGGUUAUUUUUCCUGCUCAGAUACCAUAUUGAUGUUUUGAUGUCUAUUUCAUAUCAUUAACUGUUACAAGAUCAAAAAUACAUAUAGAGGAAGAGACGGGAAAGUAGAAGGGAAAACGAGAGGUGGAGGACAAUGACAGCCCAAGCACUCAUGGUGACAGCCAAAGCACUCCAAAGCACUCAUGGUGACAGCCAAAGCACACAUGGUGAUGGCCUCCACCCUACCUAACUUAAGCCACUAACUUAACUUUACAAUUAUGAGGGAACAUUAUCACUUUAAUUAUACUAGCACUAAGACUAGACAAAAGCUUGCAUUAUUCUUCCAACAUUUAACCCUACUUCCAAUAAUAACUUCCAAUAUUUUCCUUGUGUGCAAAUGUCAUCUACUGCAAGAUGCACAUUAUGCCCUGUGUCCAACAUUUUAUCUAAAAUGAAAAGAAAAACACUUGCUCAUCUUUCUUCGUGGUUUGUCCUAUCAGAUGCAUCUGAAAAAAACUGAACUAAAUUGGGGAUGACGUUUUCGAAUUAUAGAAGGCAUUGCUCAAGGAGUACUUUAUAUCCACAAGUACUCGAGAUUGAAAAUCAUCCACAGGGACCUAAAAGCAAGUAACAUAUUGUUGGAUGAAGGCUUGAAUCCCAAAAUUUCAGACUUUGGAAUGGCAAGGAUUUUCGGGAUAAAUCAGAUUGAAGCAAAUACAAAUAGGGUUGUUGGCACAUAGUAAGUCUACGUAUAUCUGGUACAUGUUUUCAUUGAAGUAAUGUUCUAUUGCUUACUUCUCUACAUACUGUCAAUUCAUGAGUAGCGGCUACAUGUCACCCGAGUAUGCGAGAUAUGGUCAUUUCUCUGAGAAAUUAGAUGUAUUCAGCUUUGGAGUGUUGUUGUUGGAGAUUGUAAGCAGAAAGAAUGCUGUUUUUUAUCGCUUUGAACAUUCACCAACUCUUGCUGGAUGGGUAAGUACUGAAAAAUGAUUCUAAAACUCAUGGUCAUCCUUUCUUUAAGCCUUCCAAAUUCGCAAAUGACCGUAAACUCAACAUUUUAAUCAGGGAUGGGAGUUGUGGAAAGAAGGAAGAGGAAUGGAGGUGAUUGAUGAAUCAGUAAGGGAAACAUGCCAGCUCUAUGAAGCUUUGAGGUGUAUCCAUGUAGGGUUUUUGUGUGUUCAAGAAGCUCCAGCUGAUCGACCAACAAUGUCUUCGGUAAUUCGUAUGUUGCAGGGCAAUGAAUCUACAUCUCUUCCACCUUCCAAAGAACCUGCCUUUUCAACACACAGAAAUUCCAGUCAUGUUCGCUCUUCUCAAACGCCUACCAUUUAUUCCCACAAUGCAGUCACCAUGAGUUUGCCAGAAGGUCGAUAGGCGUUGGAAGAGCAAUGACUGGCAAGCAGUUGAGAAAAUAAUAUAGUAUAUUAGAAUAAACAUCCCGACAACUAGCAGUUUUAUACAAACACUUCGGGUUCAAUUACACAUUACUCGAGCUGUUUGUGCAUUUUAUGGUUUUUGCCCAUCCAAACUAAACCUAUAAUAGCAGCAUAUUAAAUUUAUGUUGUAUUUUUUAGCUGCAAAUGUGGGUGUAACCGUACUUCUAGAUAUGUUCCCGCCACACCUCUUGGUGCAACCGUAUUUAUAUUAAAUUAAAAUGGAAUGUCACUUGUAUCAAAAGAAUAAAGAGGAGAUUUUUUUUACAUAUUCCAACUUUCAGAAGACAAAAACUAAAAACAAAAUUGUUCUAGAACAAAGGAUUUACAUUAGUAUAACCAUAAUUGACAACAUGGGUUUUCCUAUGGUUGGAAUAGAAAAUUUGACAAUCAUCAUAUAGAAUCUACCGAAUGCAAGUUUGGCAACUAGAACUACAAGUAAACUAUGUGCCCGAUCAGUUUUCUCGUCGACGAAGAUUCGAACUUGAUGCCUCUUUCAACAUUGAAAAACAAAAUAUCACUAGAACACUUGAUGAGCCUGAUCAUGUUAAACUCAAGUUUUAUUGAUGAGAGUAUGGGCUGGUGAUGAUGAGCUCUCGGCAAGCAGCGGGGCUGCUUGGCCUCCAAGAAUAAAUGGAUUCGAACAUGCACCAGUCUGCUCAAACUAUAGAGGAACUGAAUGCACCCUGCAGAUCAAGUGUCAAUAAUCAAUCAAUUAAACAAACAGUUAGUGAAUAUCACUUCGAUCUAGAAAAUUUAAGGACCUUGAAUAGUUUCACUUACAAGCUACAACAACAAAACAAAUCAACAUAAGAGUGGAUCAACCAACGAAUGCACCAUUCUAGUUGAGUCCGAUUACCACCAAUGUAAGAGUCAAUUUUGUUACAAUUAGCACCAGUAAGGACAUCAGUUUAAUCUCGAACAAAGCUCCGCUGCCAGUUUCGGCAUUAUUGUUCUCCCCAACCUUGAAACCCAUGAUUGUGCUGAUUCUUUAUCGGGACCAGGCCAAAAAACACAAACAGAGAAAGAAAAAAAAAGGAUUAAACUUGUGUUUGAGAGAGAAAACAUGAGUAUGGUAUAUAAAAAUGUUGUAGGCAAGGUAGGUAGCAUUGUUUCUUGUUACUUUUUUCUACCUGAUUUGGCUUCCCGUAUAUUUUGGGUCCCUACGAUUGUGAAGUUACCCAUUUUGAUGCAAAAUGGAGGCAGGGUACUUAUGCUUCUUGUUUGGAGAGAUAGUUUAAUUAAAUGUGUCAUGUAUCAAAAAAGGUUUACUUUUAAAAAACAUAAACAAAGUUCAUUGAGUGAGUGACGCCACUAAAACUACGCAUACAAUGCAAAAGAGAACCUCUUGUUUGUUUGGCAGGUAAUUCCUGUUUCAAUCAACAGAGAGAUAAUGUGACUUAGUAAACAUUGGGUAGAUCAUGCUUAUAGGAGUGGUAUUGUUCAUUGCUCGUUGGCCAUCUUGCUUUAUUCCCUGAUUUUCAAAAAUAUUAUUGUGGGACAGAAACAUCAGGUUAAUUAUUGUGUGUGUCAUUAUUAUGUUAAUUUUGAUAAAAUUUAAUGUAUAUAUGAGUUAGACAAAACAACGACGAUAAUUGAUAACACUACGUAAUACUCUAACUAUGAACAUUAAAACAUUUCCCUAAUAUCACGCCGUUCUUCACGUUUUGCAUCCACACACAAGCAAUCGUGAAAGACGACAACAAUUGAUUUUGAACGUAAAUGAUGAAACUGAUGACUCAAGGAUAAACUGCAGAAUAAUGGAUCACACAUAGGCAAUCUGUAUAGUACCACGUGUCGAAAAAGUCAGCUGAAGGAUGCAGCCUACCAACAGGCUACAGGGACAUGUAAUCACGUUACUGUCCGAAGGGAAGCAGUGGGACCAACUCAGUUUCCUCAUCGAGCAAAAUAACUGAAGUUAACAAGUGUCACGCGUCCGUUAGAUAAUGACUUAUUUUAUUUUAUUUUUGUUAAUUAAUGAAUAAUACAGUUGCUCCGCAACUCACUCUCCUCUUGUUGAGUGAUUUGAGGAAGCAGUCUCUUCUCUUCUCACUUGAUCAGCCUCUCAAUUCUGGUCAACUUUUCCCCAAGGACGAUCUUAUCCUUCUUCACCAGAGCUUCAAGGGCUUUCAAUGGCCACCCUGUAGCCUCCAAGCUUCUGGUGCUCUGUACUAUCAGGUUCUCAAUUUUCUUGCUUACCAUGAUAAUUUCUUUUCGAUCGGUUUGGCAUGAGGUGAAGCCUCACAUGACCUAAAUUUUUUAAUAUAUAUACGGAGUGUACACAUAUAUUAUAUUAAAAAAGAAGAAGAUUAUUAAUCAAUAAUCAUCCCGAGCACACACAUAUAUUAUAAAUACAUAUACACAUAUAUAUUAUAUUAUAUAUAUAAAAUAGAGGAUGAAAAGUAUAAUGAGCACACAUAUAACAAUGCACGUAGACGGCACAUACAUUCAUUAUAUAAAAAAUAAAAAUCAGAAAACAAGGCAGAGAGAUGAUAGUGCAAGGAAGAUGUGUGAGGUAGUUAAAACCUUACCCAAAAUUUGGGUUUGGGAGUAAUAAUAAAAAAAAAUUAAAAAUAAAAUUCUCUUGAGGAGCGCCUAGGCGGCGCCUUCCGCCCACUCCCUGAAAACAGAGGCGGCAUCCCUCAAGCCCAGCCUCACAGGGCGCCUAGGCGCGCCCUGAGGCGAGCCUUUUAAAACAUUGGAGAAAAUGCAUGACCAGAAAAUGAGUUAGUGUUAAGCGAUUACGGGAGUUACCAUUGUCAUAUCUCAAAUUAUUAUUAUAUUGAAUAUACAGUUUCUACAGUUAGGUUGAAAUAUUUUCUAUCAUAGCAUAUAAAGACACAUUCUUUUUUGGUUUUGGUUAUAUCUCAAUGAAGUAUCAUUUUCUGAAGGCAAGUCCGGUUUAUUGAAUUUUUAGGUGUCAAUGAUGUUACAAUCCGACGUGUUUGAGGCGUAGAGGAAGUGAGAACCUGCUUUUGUGCAGGGAGAACCUACUCGUGGAAACUAUGAUCCCUUGACAGAUUCGAUGUACCUGAAUCAUCGUAGUCGUAGUUUUAGGUUGUGUGUUUUUGUUGUGUCUUGUGUUAAAAUGUGUUUUUGAGUUUCAACUAUACUCUUAUACUUUUUCAAUCAGGUGUAGGGUCUGAAAUAACUCAUAAAUUGAAGUGUUGUCUAUCAGCUUCAUCUCUUGUUACUGGUGGAGACCGGAGUCAAACAACAACACUGCACCUAAUCACACUAAUCUUGUUUCAUUUACGGUUUUGUGAUUCAUGUUAAAUUUCAUUUAAUUUGGAUUGAUGCUGCUAAUCUUUUUGUUGUCGAAGGAUUUAAACAAGAUGAUGAUUGGUGGAGAAAAAUGGCAUGGGGAAAUCAUUACCUUAGAUUAAUCAUGUCUGGAUGGGUACAGUUUGUAGGAAUUCAGACCAAAAACAGAGACAUGGAAAUGAAUAAACUUUUUGGUAAUGGGAGUCUUAAAAGUUUCAACAUAUCUUUGUUUUUGUGAUUACUUUUGUUAGUUAGACUUGUAUGGAUUGGAAAAGAUUAUGAGAAUUAACAACAUUUAAGCUCAAAACCUCUUGAACCGAAGGAAUCAUGAUCGUAGGUAACCUUAUUGAAAUAACACAUGAACCAUAAUUUAUAGUAAGCAUGAAUGCUUAGUUUGGUACAUUAGCUUGCAGUUGAAGCAAUCUAACUUGAAUGUCCUAAUCCUAACUCAUACCUCCAUGUCUUCUCGGGUUUAGGAUAUGUGAUGCCUCAAGGGUUUACACAUUGUAGACUGUAGAGCAUUGACGAAUUUGAACAGAACCGUUAUACUACCAGAAUCUUUGACAGAGGAAGAACAAUGUUCAAGCCCUUUCCAUACAUUGAAUUUUCUAUAAGUCGUUGUCGGUCCAUAUGCCAGCUAAUGAACCGUAAGAAUUGACUUAGUUGACUUACUGAUCACCAUGAAAAGGGCAUGUAGGUUAAGUUCCAGUAACAUGCAUACGGUAAAUCUUUGCCUGCCUGCUGAAUGCUUUGUGCAGCCAUGGAUACCACACCAAACUCAGAGUUUGUGUUCUCCAUUAUUUUAUUAUGUGCAUUUCUCGAGUUCCAUGUUUCCCUAGCAGCUGAUACCAUCAGCGAAAACCAAUCUCUCUCGGGUGAUCAAAUUAUUGUCUCCGCAGGUGGGAUUUUUGAGCUCAGUUUCUUCAAACCAGGUAACUCUUCAAACUUCUACAUAGGCAUGUAGUACACCAAACAAGUAGUAUCCGAGAGGACCAUUGUUUGGGUGGCAAACAGGGAAAAACCAGUUUCCGAUAAAUUUUCUUCAGUUUUAAUGAUUUCAGAUGGUAAUUUAGUCCUGUUCAACGAGUCCAAAUCCCCUGUUUGGUCAAUUUAACCUCCUCCUCCGCCACUGCACUUCUUUUGGAUACCGGAAACUUCUCGGUGUCCAGUAAUAGUUUAUCAGAGCCGUUAUGGAAAUCCUUUGAUAAUCCAAUGCAUACUUGGCUGCCAGGAGCUAGAAUUGGGUUUAACACUGUUAUCCAACAAACCCAAAUAUUUACUUCACGGAAGAGUUCAAAGGAUCCUGCACAGGGUCUUUUCUCGCUUGAGUUGGACCGAACGGAAGCAAUGCGUAUCUUCCCAUACUGUGGAUCCUACAGUAUUGGAUAUGCAUUGCUUCCGUGACGCAUACUUCACCUACCCUCUUUAUGAUCCAAAGAUAUUUUCUUGAUUCGUGACGCAUACUUCGGGGAAAAUUCAACAGUUGUCAUUGUGGGACAUACCGUGGAAUUUGGUUUGGUCCCAACGGAGAAAACAAUGCGAAGCUUAUGAUUUGUGCGGUGAGCACCCUCGCCUAUAAUUGCUUGAACGGUUUUGAGCCGAAGGCGAAGAGAGACUGGGAUUUAAAGGACUACCCUGGUGGGUGUUCAAGAAAAAAAAGAUCUGCAGCUGAGGCAAUCUAACUCGAACAUUUCCUAAUCCUAUAGCUCCAUCUCUUCUUGUGUUCGAUACGUGAAUCCUCAAGGGUUUACACAUUGUAGAGCAUUGAUGAAGUUGAAUAGAACCGUAAUACAUUGAAUUUUCUACAAAGACGGUAAGAUCCCACAUUGCCCAGGGAAAUGAUCCUUAUAUGUAUAUUCUCAUCCCUACCUAGCAUGAGGUCUUUUGGGAGCUCACUGGCUUCAGGUUCCAUUGGAACUUCGAAGUUAAGCGAGUAGCGCGCGAGAUCAAUCCCAUGAUGGGCGACUGGGAAGUUCUCGUGUGAGUUCACAGAAACAAAACCAUGAGGACGUGGUAGGGAUCCAAAACGGACAAUAUCGUAUUACGGUGGUGGAGCGGGCCCGAAAUGUGAUGGACCCCCGGGCCGGGAUGUGACAAAGACUUUGUUCAUAUGCCAGCUAAUGACAGAAUGUGAAGGGUUGAAUAGUUGAUUUAGUUGACUUGCAAUGACCACCAUGAAAAGGGCAUAUAGGUUGAGUACAGUAACAUGCACACGGUAAAUCUUUGCCCACCUGCUGAAUUCUUUGUGCAGCCAUGGAUACCAAACCAAACUCAGAGUUCGUGUUCUCCAUUAUUUUAUUAUGUGUAUUUCUCAAGUCCAAUGUUUACCUAGCAGCUGACACUAUCGGUGAAAACCAAUCUCUAUCUGGCCAUCAAACCAUUGUGUCUGCAGGUGGGAUUUUUGAGUUAGGUUUCUUCAAACCUGGUCAGCUUUCAAACUACUAUAUAGGCAUAUGGUACUCCAAGCAAGUAGUAUCUGAGAUGACCGUUGUUUGGGUAGCAAAUAGGGAAAUACCAGUAUCUGAUAGAUUUUCUUCGGUCUUGAGCAUCUUAGAUGGUAAUUUAGUUCUCUUGAACCAGUCCAAAACCCUGGUUUGGUCAACAAAUUUAAACUCCACCACCACUUCUGGUUCUUUACAAGCAGUUCUUUUGGAUAGUGGAAACUUUGUCUUGAGAGCGGGGUCUAGUAACAAUACAUCAGAGCCUUUAUGGCAAAGCUUUGAUCAUCCAACCCAUACUUGGCUACCAAGAGGUAGACUUGGAUUCAACAAAAUUACAAAUCAUACCCAAACUCUCACUUCAUGGAAGAAUUCGGAAAAUCCUGCACCAGGUCUUUACUCUCUUGAGCUAGCCCCGGACGAAAGCAGUUCAUAUAUCUUAUUGUGGAAUAGGUCUAAACAGUAUUGGAUCAGUGCACCAUGGAAUGAAAGUUCACAUAUUUUCAAGGUGGCUCCUGAAAAUCAAAUGUUCAAUUAUAGUUAUGUUACGAAUGAGAACGAAAGGUAUUUCACCUAUUCUCUUUACGAUCUAAAAACUGUAUCUCGAUGCUCCUUGUCUGUCUCGGGCCAGAUUCAGCAACUAACAUGGUUGGAGAAGCAGUGGACUUUGCUUUGGUCUCUACCAUUACAACAGUGUGAUGUUUAUGCUUUUUGUGGGGCUUUCUCUAGUUGCAAUCCCACAUCCUUGGACAACUGCAAAUGUUUGAAGGGCUUUGAGCCAAACCGGCAGAGUGAUUGGGACUUGCAGAUUUAUUCUGGUGGGUGUUCAAGAAGAACCAGUAUGCAGUGUGGGAAUGCUGCUAGUGCGAAUGGGACGGGUGAUGGGUUAUUGGGAGACGAGUUUCUAGAAAUACAUAGUAUUUCAUUGCCUGAAAAUAACCAAUAUGGAUACGCUCUUGGUAUCGAAAGUUGUAGAUCAGCCUGUUUAAAUGAAUGCCAUUGCACUGCUUAUGCUUAUGAAAGCAACAGUUAUUGUUCAAUAUGGCAUGGAGAUGUUUUUCUGCCAGAGCUUGUAGCAAGUGACGGUGGUGGAAGAACUUUAUACAUCAGAGCUGCAGCUUCUGACAUUAAGAAAAAACGUAAUAAGAGAGUGAUUAUUCAUGUCUUACUUGGAGCCGUUAAUCUUAAUGUUGUCCCAGUGAUUUUUUUCUUUUCUUUGCAGGUUUAAUUAAGCCGUCCCUUGUGAUUGCAAUUGUCACAACAGUCACAGGUUUGCUUCUUGUCAUUUUUGGCUAUUUCUUAUGGAAGAAGACAGUGGGAAAGAAAAGAGAGCAAAGGAAUAGAUAUGGUGAGACUAAAAGUAAAUUUGCUGCUGGAGGUGAAAACAACGAUGCAGAACUGCCGAUCUUUGGUUUAAGGGCUAUAAUAGCUGCUACAAACAACUUCGCUGAAGCUAAUAAACUCGGAGAGGGAGGAUUUGGCCCUGUCUACAAGGUGACACUUCCACUGUGUACUCUAAAUACUAAAACAUUUUUCUCCUCAUGCACACUUCUUGUGUAUUUAUGACCUUUGGAUUGAAUAAUUCCAAUGAGAUGAAUCACGGGGCAAAGUACACAUGGGUGUGCAGAAGGACAAAAAAGAGUGUUCGAAAAUAAUUUCUCCUUUCAGAAACAUGACCGUUCCUUUUUACUUCUCUUACAAUUUCUUCUCUUGUGCGAUUUUCUUCCUCUAUGCAGGGAAUUUUGGCUGAAAAUCAAGAAGUAGCCAUAAAAAGGUUAUCAAAAAAGUCAGGUCAAGGACAACAGGAGUUCAUGAAUGAGUUAAAACUUAUUGCCAAGCUCCAACAUACCAAUCUCGUUAGGCUCUUGGGUUGCUGUCUUGAAGAGGAGGAAAUGAUAUUGAUCUACGAGUACAUGCCCAAUCGGAGCUUGGACAAACUUUUGUUUGGUAUAUAUAUGCUAAUGACUUAUGAUUUUUUCUGCAAAUAUAUUGCUUUCCUUGUGUUUAAAUGCCGUGUACUGCAAGAUCAAAUGCACUGUGUCCAACAUUUUAUCUAAAAUGAAAAGAAAAACAUUUGCUCAUUUUUCUUCAUGGUUUGUCCAAUCAGAUGCAUCUGAAAAAAGAGAAUUAGAUUGGGGAAGACGUUUUCGAAUUAUAGAAGGCAUUGCUCAAGGAGUACUUUAUAUCCACAAGUACUCUAGAUUGAAAAUCAUCCACAGGGACCUAAAAGCAAGUAACAUACUGUUGGAUAGAGCCUUGAAUCCCAAAAUUUCAGACUUUGGAAUGGCAAGGAUUUUCGGGAUAAACCAGACUGAAGCAAAUACCAAUAGGGUUGUUGGCACAUAGUAAGUCUACAUAUACCUGGCACAUGUUUUCAUUCAAGUAAUGUUCUAUUGCUUACUUCUAUACAUACUGUCAAUUCAUGUGCAGCGGUUACAUGUCACCUGAAUAUGCAAGAUAUGGUCAUUUCUCUGAGAAAUUAGAUGUAUUCAGCUUCGGAGUGUUAUUGUUGGAGAUUGUAAGCGGAAAGAAAAAUGCUGCUUUUUAUCGCUUUGAACAUUCACCAACUCUUGCUGGAUGGGUAAGUACUUAAAAAUUAUUCUUGCUCACAAUCAUUCUGUCUUUAAGCCUUCCAAAUUCGCAAAUGACCGUAAAUUCAACAUUUUAAUUAGGCAUGGGAGUUGUGGAAAGAAGGAAGAGGAAUGGAGGUGAUCGAUGAAUCGGUAAGGGAAACGUGCCACCUCGAUGAAGCUUUGAAGUGUAUCCAUGUAGGGUUUUUGUGUGUUCAAGAAGCUCCAGCUGAUCGACCAACAAUGUCUUCGGUAAUUCAUAUGUUGCAGGGCAAUGAAUCUACGUCUCUUCCACCUUCCAAAGAACCUACCUUUUCAACACACAGACAUUCCAAUCCUGUUCGCUCUUCUGAAAUGCCUACCAUUUUUUCUCACAACUCAGUCACCAUGAGUUUGCCAGAAGGUCGGUAGGGGUUGAAAGAACAGUGGCUAGCAAGCAGUUGAGAAAAUAGUGUAUUAAAUUAGAAAAAAAGACAUUGCGACAAAUAUGUUUAUACGAACACUUCAAGGGUUCAAUUGGAGAAAUAAAAGUCCCCUCAGCUGUGAGGUUGAGUCUCUUAGAAAGCAUACACCGAAAGAGAAAUGAAUUACUGGUGUUUGUGUUUAAUGGUUUAUGCCCAUCUAGACUAAACCUAUAAUAGCACCAGAUUAAACUUAUGUUAAAGUGUUUUUCAGCUGCAAAUAUGGGCAUAGCCAUAUUUCAAGUUAUGUUCCCACCCCACCCCUUGGUGCAAACCAAUUUAUAUUAAUAUAAAAUAGAAUGUUGUUUGUAUGAAAAGAAAAAAGAGGAGAUUUUUUUACAUUUUUCAACUUUCAAAAGACAAAAAAUAAGAACAAAAUUAGUAUAGAACAAAGGAUUUUACAUUAGUAUAUCCAUAAUUGAAGGAUUUAAGCCCUUUCCAUACAUUGAUUUUUUCUACAAAGACUUGGUCCAUAUGGCAGCUAAUAAACAAUCUGUGAAGGUUGAAUAGUUGACUUAGUUGACUUGCAAGCAGGCGAGAAUAUCUAUCUAUAUAUGGUUAAGCGAGAGUCUCACGGAUGGCGACAAAAUUUUGGAGUCACCCCAUUCAAAACCUGUCCAAAAUAAUAUAUCAAAUCAUGCAAUGAUAAUUUGGUAAUUUAGUCAUAAUAAAAUAUAAAGUAAUGGGUUGUUGGACAAAAAAAUAAGAUUAAAAAAAUGUAAGGAGUUCCAUCCCUCUCCCCCCCCCCCGGCGCGUCUCAUCUCUCAUCCCUCAUUAGAGGUGGGCACUUAGAACCAAAAACCAAACUAAAACACGAACCAAAUCGAACCGCACCGAACGGUUUGGGUUUGCGGUUUUUGAACGGUUUCGGUUUUGAAACCGAACCGCAACAUAGAAAACAGUUUGGUUUCGGUUUUGACUUUUGAAAACUGCACCGAAACCGAACCGCACCACAAAUAUUAAUAAACAUUUAAUUAAAUGUCCAUAUUAAAUUUCAUGUUUUAAUUGGUUGUUUAUUAAAAUCCAUGCACUUAGUACGGACUCAACCACACUAGAAUAUCAUUAUUCAUCACUUUCUUUCGUUCAUUAACUUGAAGGACCUUUGUUAUUUUAUACCAUCACACACACACACACACACACACACACAUAUAUGUACAAGGGUGGACUAAUCUUGUUAUCAAGAGUCGAACAAUGAUCUAAUGAAGUCCACUCAUUUGAAGCAUGAUAUCACAUAUUCUAGUAUAAAAGUUUCGCUCACGUUUAAUGAAUUCAAAGUUAUUCAAUUUGUAUUAUGUUAUACCUUGUACGGGACAUCCUUUUGUUGCACAAACAUGUUUUAACAUCACAACUGCAUGCAACAUGCUAAUUGUUUAUAUAACAAAUGUCUUUUUCCUAUUGCUACUGGGAAAUGCUUAUUAAUAUGUUAAAUUGCAAAUUGUACAUUUUUUUCUUAAAAACCAAACCAAAACAGUUUGAAACCGCACCGCACCGCACCGAACUAAACGAUUUGGUUUCAUUUCGAUUUUGGCUUCAAAACCGCACCGAACCAAACCACAAAAAAUUUCGAUUUCGGUUUCGGUUUCACUCAAAACCACACCGAACUAAACCGUGUCCACCCAUAUCCCUCACGUCUCUCUCUCUCCUCAUUUUCAUUGUUUUCCUCUUGCCCUUCUUUCUCUCUAUAAAAAAAAGUUUUCGCAUGUUGAUAAUAAUGUGAUUAAAUUAAUUGUCAAAUGAUUAAUUUUUUUUUUUAACAAACAACAUUAUCUAUACUAAGGAGGAGGGGGUAAACUUAACCUCACAAUGGGCUAGCAAUAAUGUGAUUCAAUUAGUUGUUCAUUCAAUAUUAUUUUCUCUAUUUUUAAACACGUUCAAAACAUCUUAAGAGGCGUGUAAUGCCGGUUAUAAAAAAGAUUUUUCGCAUGCGGAUAAUAAUGUGAUUAAAUUAGUUGUCAAAUAAUUUUGUUUUUAACAAACGAUAUUAUGUAAGAGAGAGGGGGUGGGCUUUAGCUUCACAAUAGACUAGCAAUAAUGUGAUUUAAUCAAUUGUUCAUUAAAUAUUAUUUUCUCUAUUCUUAUUGUAAAUUCUAUAGAGACCGAUUUUAUUAUGUGAAUUCAACUACUUUAAUUGAUUUAUGAGAGAUUUCUUCUAGCAUGAUCUAAGAUUAUUUAUUACGUCAAAUAUUUGACUUUCAUUUUGUCAAUUUAUGCAUAUAAAUGCAUUUAAAACGUGUAAGUUGUGCGUACCACGUCGUGAUUUAAAAAAUAUCUUCUACACACGCUCACGCGCGUUCAUGAAGGCUAGUAAUGUAUUAAAUUAGAAUAGAACUACCAUGAUAACUAUAAGUUUUAUACAAGCAUUUAAAGGGUUAAAUUGGAAUGCACCCCGCAGAAACUUCAAAGAAAUAAAGUUUAUCUAGAAAGAAAAUGAUGCGUAUACCAAACGGAGUAAAAAUAUGAUGACGGUGUUCAAAUAGUUAAUACACUAGAAAAUGUACCCGCGUGUUGCUACGGGAUUUGAAGCAUUGUUGAAGAUGUGGAAAGUGCUAAAACAUAUAUGCUAAGAAGUGGGGUUUAUAUACGUGUUACAUCCAUAUGUUAAUCAAGUGUUAUUUACAUUCGUAUAUUACAUUACAAAAAUUGGUGAUGCUCAAGAAAAACAAAUUGGGGAUGCUCAAGGACUUUUUCGUAACCUAUGGCUCUAUCUCGUCCUAAAUUGCAUAUGUUUACAACUAUAUAAAGUUAAAAAAAUCCAGUUUUAAUCCACUGAAGACAUCCAAAUCCAUAACUCCAUUAAUGGUAUCUCCCUCCUUUGUUUUGUACGACAACAUUGAACUAAAAAAUCAAAAAGGAGGAAAUUAAAAACAGAAUUUGAUCACUCAGUGAAUUGAAUCACCUUAAAUUGCAUAUAAAUUGAAUUUGAAUUAAAUUGAAUGAAAGUAUACAGACGAAGGGAAAGUUGUCAUAACUUUACCAUGCAAGAUUUUACCAUGCCCGAUUUCAUUUGCAUGUCCCAAAAUCAAUUUACGAAAUUAAGGUUGGGGUUUUCAUAUUCUCUAUUGGGUAAUGAAAGUCACGUGAAAAGUUCAGAAAUAACCAAACCAAAAUCCAAUUUAGUACACCUAAGAAAAACAUUAGCAAGAAACUAUUUCCAACUCAUCAUUUAUUUAUCAAACACAGUAAUACAGUCAUAGAAACACUCUUAACUCACUCACCAAAAUUGAAUUAAUUAAAUUGGAUGUUGGGGUCAAGUCAAAACGACGGUCGGAGGGGCCAGACAUUUUCAAAGGUGUUGAAGAGAAAAGAGGUCGGACAAAUCAAGAUCUUAGAAAUGCAAGAAGGGAGCUUCUACUGGUGGAGAUUCAAGUGUGCUUUGGAACUUAAUACUAGCCUCUAUAAAAAUCCGCACUCGAUGGAGCUUCAGAAAUCGAAGAGGCGCCUGCUCAGAAAUCGAAAAGGCGUUUGCUUUCUCAAAAGCUGGGCUGCUCAGAGACCACGAUGGCCGAUCUCAGGAAUCGAAGAGGCGUUUGCUUUCUCAAAAGCUGGGCUGCUCAAAGACCACGAAGGUCGAUUGCAGAAAUCGAAGAGGCGCUUGCUUUCUCAAAAGCUGGGCUGCUCAGAGACCACGAGGGCCGAUCUCAGAAAUCGAAGAGGCACCUGCUUUUUCAACCUUAUCAGCACCUGUCACAUGCACACUCAACUUUGCGGAAAUUACGGGCAUUCUGUCGAAGAUUUCUAGUGAAGUAGAAAGCACGUGAAUGUUACUGUUCAAUCAUUCACUUUCCACACGCAACAUCAGCUCACGGGUACCACAGAUAACUUUGCCAAAAAUCUCUGACAAAGUUUAGACACGUGAAGCUUGCAGCUCCCAUUACAUCGCUAUGACCAAGAAGGGUAAAAGAAUAGCAAAGAAGCAGCACUAACAAAGUUUAGACACAUAAAUUUUGAAGGUCUAGCUAUCAUAUUACCCACAAAGGUAAAGGAACAGGACCAUUGCUGGAUAAUUGGAAAGUCCCUGUGGGUCAACCUCUGUGCUCCGUGGCAAGGUAGACUAGCAAACAGGCCUAACCUUUACUCACAUUCGAGAAAACACUCCCAACAAGAUUGCUUGCUUCAAGAUCGAAGAGGCACCGUCCUCCGAAUCUCGAGAGCCAGACUCCCAACAUGAUUACUUUCUCAAAAAGCGACGAGACACCGCUCUCCGAAUCUCGAGAGCCAGACUCCUAGCAGGAUUGCUUUCUCAAAAAUCGAAGAGGCACCGUUCUCCGAAUCUCGAGAGACAGAUCCCCGACAGGAUUGCUUGUUCGAAAACCGAAGAGGCACCGCUUUCUCAACUUCGAGAGCCCCUUAGAUAAAGCUUGUUUGUAAUCCUCACACCGCUUUCUCAACUUCGAGAGCCAGAUCUCUUUGGAUAAAGCUUGUCUGUAAUCUUCACACGUAACAUCAGCUUUCCAGAUACCACACACCACUUUUUCAAAGUGCUCUGACAAAGUUAAAACACGUGAAGCUGGCAGCUCCCACUACCGUGCUAUGACCAAGCAGGGUAAAAGAAUAAUAUUACUCAUUGUUAGGGAGACUCCUAUAUAUGUCGACAUCCAUCCUCAACGGACAAGCAGACCUGCAAAAAUGCUCAACCCUUCCUCAUAUCUGAGAGGGCAUUCCCAACGAAGCCUUUCGAAAUACUCAGCUUUCUUUCCCCCCGAGAAUACCUCUGCAAACAAGCUACACUAGAGCAAGAAUAUCUCAUAUCAUCAGGGUUAAAAGCAAGAGUAUCCCAUAUCAUGCUUUUUCUCUGUCUUUUCCUUUGGCCUUGUUCUUACCUGCAAGACAAGGAGAAAGAGAGCAAUCAGUCAGCACUUGGAAUCAAGCUUCCAGUCCGGAACUAACUGCCUGGAACCCCAUUGCUCUCGAGUACUCAUCUUCAACAUCUUAUGCUUCCCGAGAAGAUACCACAUCUGCCUGAGGAACAAAUAGGGCAAGUGAGAAGGAUACAAGGAAGCAUGUGGAGACAAGCGCAACAGAACACGUGCCGAUACAUCCACUACUUUGUCAACAGCAAAAGUAUCCCAUAUCAGCAGGGUCGAACGUACUCUAGAUUUGAUGGACUUGUUUUGACUCUCAAAUUCUUCAGUCGGCCUUAUACUCUGGCGGAAACAAGAAAACCUUCCAGCCCAGUUCAAGAAUAAGCCUGUGGAAAGUUACUUCUUCAAAAGUAAAAGUAUCUCAUAUCACCUUUUCUCCUUUUCUUCUCUUUAUCCUUCAUGCUACCUGCAAGAUAAGGAGAAGGAUAACAAUCAGCCGGAACUCGAAAUCAAACUUCUGAUCAGGGACUGAUUGCUUGAAGCUCUGAUUGCUUACCUUGUCUGUCACCUCUUUCAGCAGAUCCCCUAGCUCGGCGACUUGGGGGUCUCCUACUACAUGGUUUGUAUGGCGCUUGACCAAGCCUGAAACUACAAGUAAGCAUCAAGUGAAAUUGAUACAUUACCUUGUGCAUCUCCACCAGUUAAAGAUACCACCCCUGGAGGGAGGAAGAGUACUUCCAAAGAAGAUGCCACAUCUACCUAUGAGACAGAUAAGGCAAGUGAAGACGAUACCACACUUCGGUACUUAAAAGUUUCGUGAUUACGAGAUCAUUCUUCCACAAUAUUUCCUAAUGUCAUUUGUACUAAAUCAUUCACUUGUACUCACUAAAGGAGAGCUUGAACCUAUAUACUGUGUAAACCCUUCACAAUUAAUGAGAACUCCUUUACUCCGUGGACGUAGCCAAUCUGGGUGAACCACGUACAUCUUAUGUUUGCUUCCUGUCUCUAUCCAUUUACAUACUUAUCCACACUAAUGACCGAAGCAAUCUAGCGAAGAUCACAAACUUAAUAUUUAAGAUGAUAUUCUUUGGUGUAUGCUUUUCACAAACGAUAUAGUGUUGAUAGAUGAAACGCAGGAAGGGGUAAACGCGAAGCUUAACCUUUGGAGAGAAGUGUUGAAAUCUAAAGGUCCUCGCCUAAGCCGAUCAAAGACAGAAUAUAUGGAGUGCAAGUUCAGUGCAAACGGAGGCCAAAAUGAGUUAGGGGUGAGGAUCGGAGAUCAGGAAAUACCAAAGAGCGACCGUUUUCGCUACCUAGGAUCUAUCUUGCAAAAGAACAGAAAAUUUGAUGGAGAUCUCACCCAUAAAAUACAAGCUGGAUGGAUGAAGUGGAAGAGUGCAUUCGGCGUGUUGUGUGACCGUCGUAGGCCACUGAAGCUCAAGGGAAAAUUUUAUAGGACGGCAAUAAGGCCGGCAAUGCUGUAUGGCAUAGAAUGUUGGGCGGUGAAGCAUCAACACAUAGGUGUAGUGGAGAUGAGGAUGCUUCGUUGGAUGUGUGGGCACACGAGAAAUGAUAAGAUUAGGAAUGAGGAUAUCCGAGGUAAAGUAGGAGUAGCCGAAAUUGAAGGAAAGAAGAGAGAAAAUCGGUUACGGUGGUUUGGACAUGUGCAAAGAAUGCCUACUGACGCUCCGGUUCGAAGAUGUGACCACGGGACAGAGGUUCAGGGCCGAAGGGGUAGAGGAAGACCUAGGAAAACUUUGGAAGAGACCCUAAGAAAAGACUUAGAGUACUUGGAUCUAACGGAGGACAUGACACAAAAUCGAGCGCAAUGGCGUUCUAGGAUUCAUAUAGCCGACCUCACUUAGUGGGAAAAUGCUUUGUUGUUGUUGUUGUUGUGGAUGUUGGGGUCAAAAUUUUAUGUCCGCCUAAGGAUAUUUGAGACUAAAAAUUUAACUCUACUCAGUUUAGCUUCCAAGUCAUUUUUAUUUUCGGUCUUCAGAUUUAGACUAAAUAUUUAACAUUACUUAGUGUAGUUUCAAAUUUAACUUUCCCUUGAGCGCUUGUCUACUGGAUUUAUCUUCUAUAGCCUUUUGUUUGCAAUUUGAAUUACAUGACUCAAAAUACAGCCCAAAUAGAACACAAAUGGCCCUUAGAAAACAAAAUGCGAAAUAUUUACUAAUCACUAUUCAUGGUUUUGGUCAAAGAACUCAAAUUUCAGAGAUACAAAACAGAGCAGCUCGUAUAAAUCAUUUAUAAAGGUUACCUCUUUUUGGUUGAAAAAUUGAAGGGUGACGCCAAUUCUUCUUCAGCUUCCACCUCCUUGUGGAACUUGACCCGCCAGUCACAUUUGCACGUGAACCUGAAAUCAACAACCAGUCAGUACCUUUGGCAAGCUCAUGGGGGUAUGACAACAUGUAUAGGAAUAUUAUUGCAACUCUAUUAAACGAAGAAGUAUUCAGUUGAGGAUGUCGAUGAGGGAGGGAAGAAGAAGAAAAGAAAUGCUAGUUGAGGAACAAAAGAAUUUUGAUGCUGCGUUCGGUUUGUAUGUAUGGUCUAAGAAUUUACAAACUGCCUAUAUGAUUCACUCGCUUCUGUGUCUUCAUCAAAUCUAUUUCUUUUUUACUACCUCUUCUUUCAUGAAGGUAUAAUCGUCACAUUAUUUUCUAACAUAAAAUAUACACCUAACAGACGUUUAAUACAUUGCCCAUAAGUUAACUGAGGUGGGUUUUGCUUGAGUAGUUGGUGACCUUCACAGUCGGCCAAUUGCGGCUGACAUGUGAUUGAUCGUAUAAGGAUAUCUAUUUAAAAUAGUUAAGGGACUUCAAGGAUGCCUCUAGAUUUAUUCUGGUUAGAAGAUCGGGUUGAGUAACAAGUUUUGACUCCAACGGAUAUUUUGCAUAGAAGACUUCAGAAAAUGUGAUUCGCAAAAUGAUGUCAGAUUUCAAAAUUUAAGGCAUGUUUUAAGUGCACUAAGAUAUCUCGAAACGUAUCCUGAUGUGAUACUAUAAUUUCAUGGAAGGAAGAAGAAAGAAUAGUCUAAAAUUUUCCUGUCCAAUAACUCCAUCACCAUCAUCUCCAAUCAGAGCAAUGAUAUCCUCAAUAGACAGAAUUGUUUUAUUUUGGGUACUUAUCUAAACACACAAAAAUUAAACAUUUUCUCAUCCAAUUCACAUAUAAAAUGGUCCAAAAGUGCAUGCAGUGGUUGAGUAGAAACUAAUGUUACUUUGAAUUGAUGAAGUGUUUAUCCUCUAGAAGAUCUACAUAUCUAUUAUAAACCAAUCUUUAGUCUUGCAGAAAGUGAUAUGCUGACUCCAAAUUCCCAUAAUAUUAAAAUUGAUUUACAGUACAAUCUGCAAAUGUAGUUAAAUUUAAUGCUUCCCAUCAUUGCCAUUGUUGCAAAUCAAAUCGUAUGUGCAGAUUUAUGGUACAACACAUGAUCGAAUUAGAUAGUUGUAUGAAUACAUGUUUGUUCUUUCCCUUUCAACUUGUUUGGAUCCUCACUUUUCUCAAACAAAAGAUUAGACUCUUAUGACUUCUUAGCAUAGGGCUUAGAAGGUUUAACCACUCGCAAAACCACUAAUAACAUCUCUCAAACCAUUCAUUGUGCAUAUUCAUGCCAUUUUAAUAUUGAACCUUAUAGGAAUCUAAGCUCAUCAAAGCGUAACUCCGACAAAAUAUACAUAGCAAAUCGACACUUAAUUUCGCAUGAUACUUUUUUUGAGGAAAAACAACGAAGAAAGCCAUUGGGUUACCAUCGUCAAGCGCUCUCAUUUGCCUUGAAAUGGGGGUACCAUAGACACAUAUCCAAACCAGACGCAACGACUCGUAUUCUCUGAAUGCAUUGGUUUAUCAAACACAAACACACAGCCCUAAGAUCAUGUAGUAAGAUUUGGAUUUUUCUUACGCAUGCAUACAGUACAAAUGUAAUAUAGUUAUUUGAAAAAAAUACUCCAGCUCAUCACUUGUAGCCAUGACGCCUUGUUAAAAUUAUUAAAAAACUGGAAUAACAGUAAAGAAAUUGGCAAAAAAUCAAACCUACUAGUCAUUGGUGACCUUCAUAUGAUAAGCAACCACCCAUACCGCAGCCUCUGACGCCUAUCCCAAAAAUAUGGACCUAUAAUAUUCAUUCCCACCGGCACCAAAACCACCAUAGUCGUCUCAUCCCUCCAAGCCGCAGAGCUAUUCUUGAAAACCCAUUACAACAUUUUCCUAGCCGCCCCCUUUACUGCAACAAACCUCAUCAAAAUGCCUAAUAACUGUUCCGGAUGGCACACACCAAAUUUUAUCAUGAGAAAAAAGCAACCCCAGACCCAAAUUAAGCAUUUCAUAAAUCCUAUUUACUGGAAAGAUCUUUUUUUUUUUUGAAGGGAGGUCACCAAUGCUAUCAUAGGGCAUGAGCAGAGAGCGGUUCCAAAACUGCAAACAAAAGCCCCCAAAAGAAAAAUCAAAAUCACCCACAUACCCAAUCGGAGGCUACAAAUUAAAAACAAAAACAAAACAAAAAGAAAAUUUGAACAGAAAAACCAUUUGUAAAUCCAAAGAAUUUCCAUGUCCAGUGCAUUCUUUCUAAUAAUUGACACAAAAGAAAUAAAUAUACAGCCCUAAACCCUAAAUCAGUGGAAGCAAACAGAGAAGGUCAGGUCCUCGAGAGAAAAAAAAAUGAAAACCGAAAGGAAAUUCGCUAUUUACAUUUAUACCAAAAUUAUGAACUUGAAUUUAAUCUUAUUUGAACACAUCCUUGAGCAAUCUUACCUCAAAGCACAUCACCCAGUUAAGUUCUAUAGCAUGUGUGGCCUGAUCAGCCAACUGCGCGUGCCCCACCGUCGAGAUUACCACGUCGACUUGCUCGAUCGCCUUCACCAAGCUCUCAUAAUCGUACAGAUCACCCUGUAAAUUAUAAAUAAUAAAAAAAACCACUCAAAUCAAGCAAAACCCAAUUGGCUAAUCGGAUCAAAAAGCUACAAAAUGCUGGAAAUUUUACAAACCAGGACAAAAUUGAAGCCCAGAUCCUUGAGGUUCUCGAGGAAUUUGGACUUUGCCGGGUUAUAGAGGGUAGUUCUCGGACCAGAAAGUAGGUGGGGUGGCCGGCCUUGGCGCUGGCCUAUGCGAUGAACUUUUCAGUGCCGCCAAUGAAGAGGAAUUUGGACUUGGAUGCCAUCGGGAAUGGGAUUGGGGGGAAUCAGAAUGGGAUGAGUUGGAGAGAGAUAGCGAGUGAUUCGAUUCGAAGUGGAGGAUGAAGGAAGAGGUGGAGGGUCAGUGAGGAGGAGCUUGAGCUCCAUUUGCAGUCGGAGGCUGAGAGAGCAAUGAAAAACGUAGUAGCAAUCCCAGAGGAGAUCGAAAUGAAAGCACACCUGGAGAGUUCGAGAGACAUCCACCGUCAACACGUGGAUAACAGCGGCAUACAUGAAAUAACAGAAGAUGAAAAAGGGCAAAAACGGAAGAACAUUGUAAAAGUAACAGUGUUUUGAGUCCAUAAGGACAUCAUGGGAAUUUACCUGAAAGUUUCUCUUUUAGUACGAGAGCUACAAGACUUACCAUAUUAUCUUAUUUUUCUCACCCACGUUAUAUUUUCAUCUAUCUUAAAAAGUUAAAAAAUUAAUGUUAUUUUCUCGCUCACUAUUAUUCCCAAAAUAACCUUUAAUAUAUAUGUACAUAUGAAAUUAUAAAAUUGUCUCUUAAAAAAUAUAAGAAAUAAUAUGUAAAUGAAAAUUACUAAAGUCUGCAAAUUCAAAUAGAAACGACAGAGGUAUCCAAAUUCAAAAUAUUUCGACAACGACAAAUUUAAAAAUACGAUAGGCAAAUUCAAAUGACCUACACACAAAAUUAUUCUUCUACCUUUUCAAUGGAAACAUAAUCUUCGACCUCUUCUGUUUAAGCUUCAUUUUCUACAUAUUCAAUGAAAAAGUCAUCUUCUAAGUCUAUUGCUAUUUUUUUUUUUUUUACUUUCUCUGAAUGAAAUGAGAUGAAAAUAUGAGUUAAGGUUUAAGGUAGACAAAUUGUCUCCCAUACCCAACUUGUUUUUUUUUUUUUUUUUAAAUUAAGCAAAACAAGAUAAUUAAUGUCCUUAUUAAUCUUUUUGUAAAUGGACAAAUUUGUAAUUAAAAAAUUCAUUAAAAGGUGAGUGGAAAAAUAAGAUAUUGAGGUAAGAAUAACAUCACUCUUUAGUGUAUAUAUAUAAUAUAAUAUAAUUUUACUGUCAGAAUCAUUGAAAAGUGAAGGAACAAAAGUUCAACAUUUUCGAUCCUAAUACGUUUGACUGAGUAGUCCGGAAAGUUACAUUUAAAUCUUGCAUACAUGGAUAUAAUGAAUGUUUCAAUGGUAAUAUCUUAUAUAAUAAUCGUAUCACUAAGUGGGACGUAACAUUAUAUCUGGACCCAUAUUCAUGCCCUUUUCUAUAGCUUUUAUUUGACAAAUAAAAAAUAAAAAAAAAUAAAAAAUAAAAAAACCUUCUACGAAGACAUGGUCGUAAUGGCAGCUACGUACUGAUCAAUAUUAAAUAGCAAGAAAAACAAGAUUUUCGUUGUCAAGGUUCAUUUACCCUUGACCCUUUUAUAGUUGACUUGGAAUUCAUACAGUAUAGUUUAAAUUCUAGCUUCUCUUUUUUUUGUGCAGCAAUGGAUACCAAACCAAUCUUAUUGUUCGAGUUCUCCGUUAUUUUAUUAUGUGCAUUUUGGAAGUCUCACAUCUCCCUUGCAGCUGAACACUAUCAGCGAAAACCAAUCUCUCUCGGGCGAUCAAACCAUUGUCUUUGCAGGUGGGAUGUUUGAGCUAGGUUUCUUCACUAGUACAAAAAAUACUUUGCGCGACGUAGGACCGUCGUCGCGCAAAGUCAAAAAUACGUCGCCCAAAAAUUAGCCAAACGAACCUUCGUCGCGCAAAGUAUUUAGGGUUUAGGGUUUAGGGUUUGCGCGACGUAGGUAGGCACUGCGUCGCGCAAAGUAUCUUUGCGCGACGCAGGAUCUACGUCGCGCAAAGCUACUUUGCGCGACGUAAUGCCUACCUACGUCGCGCAAAGUUUUAUUUAUUUAAUUUUUUUUUUGUCAUUUAUAUUUAUUUUUUUAAUUUUUAAUAAAUAUCAUAAUUACAUUCUAAAAAAUAAUUAAUAAACCAAGAAAAAGUAAAUAAUUAUAGAAUAUAUGAAAAUGUAUGUUUGUCCGAACAAAAAAAUAAAAAACUACAAGUCUUCUAAGUUUAAUACAUCAUGCUACUCGGUAUCGUCGGGGCAAAAUGGCUGGGAAGUCGAAGGUGGAGCAACAUUAGGUGCUGGCAUCGUCGGGAUUUGGAGGCCGGACAUCGCUAAGGCCUGAACAAUCAUAUUCAUCCUCUCGUCCUGGGCCCUAAUAUGGUCGCCCUGGGCCGCAACCUGACCUCUUAGGGUUGUCACUUCCUCCUUCAAGGAAUUGACCUCUCCUGUGGACAAUCUGGAAGAAGAGGCACCCGUUUCACGAAGAGGAAGGAUCAAAUUAGUUAAACCGUGGCAGUAUGUGUAUUUUGUGAGCAAAAAUGUACACAAAGAGGAAGAUUCACUGCGGUCCUUUUUUGGAUUUGCUGCUCAUUACAUAUUUUGUCCGCCUAAAAGGGCUUUAACUUUGAACAAAUUUUGGAGAACUCAAGUCCAAACCAUUUACCUCAGCAGUAUGGUCCUUCACAAUGUGCCUACAGUUAUAGUUCCCAUCAUCAGAGCCUUGCCAUAUGCGAACUGUCUGCAACAUUAAAGGGGAAAAAUGAUGAUACAACAUCAAAAGAUGGAGUACACUAGGUUGAAUAUCUGAUUGGUUACACCCUUACAACCUAUGCAAUAACAUCUAAAUUGCAUGCAUGUAAAGUUCUUUAUUGACUCCAAUUUAUCCUCUUUUUUUCCUGAUCUCCUUUUUGUGUUUGGGUCAGGGAGGUUGAUCACCACCCCCAGUUGCAUAAAAAGUAACUUUAGAAUAUAAAUUUAAAUCCGUGUAGAUCCACAUAGAUGUACAUAAAAAGUCCCAAGGUUAAACUUGUAACUGUGAGGUAGGCAGAGUUUAGCGGUGGCCAAGUUAAUAAUGAAUGACAAACAAAGCUAAUGACAACUCCAGUAAAUAGAGAAGAUAAAAUAGUAAUGAAGAUUACAGCAUUUGUAUCAACCCCUCCAGUUGCAAUGAGAUUCUGCGAGAAUAAAGCCAAAAAGUAAUACUUGAUCAGCAAAAUGGAAACAUAACUGAGUUCAAUGACAUAAAAUACACAGGACAGACACACAAGGAUUUAUGACUUUGUCCUUAAUCCAUAAUCCCGUAUAUACCAUGAAGACAAAAGAUCAGUGUAAAGUGUGGAUUAAGGUAGGAAAAGCAUGCAAAAGAUCUAAAUUCUCAUCAAAUACCAUUACGCAAAAGAACACUAAAACAAGAGAGCUUCAAGGCUCAAUAAAUUCUAGAUUUGUUCCUACUAAAUUCGUUUUCUUCAUUUCAAGACAUUUGGUUUAGGAUCAUCCCUAAACCUAAAACUGUAGAUAUAUGAACAUUAAAGAUCAAAAUGCACUUCUAAUAGUACAAAGGCAGUAUUGAAGAGCAAAAUCAUGCAACAUCCAGUACGAACCUAAGAGUCUUUCACUGGAGUCAAAUACCCAUAUGGAAGUGAUGCUUAAACAAAAUGAUAUAAUAGCAGAGGUAAACACAAUCUCAUACCUUGUUAGACUGAAUAUCAAUCGAUAAAAUUCCUGGUUUGCUUGUUCUAUGAAGAGAAUGACUAGAUAUCUGAGUAUACCUCUCCAACGCAUCAACUGGAGCUAAUGUUGGGGAUAUCUGAACACCAAAGCAACAUACAGAUAAAAGCAAUAACUAUCAGAACUUAUCAAAUAAAUUCUGUGAAAACAGCUGAACUUCACUAGCAGCUUUUCUCAAGAAAAGAUUAUGUGAUAAACCCAAUUCCCUGCACAAAACCAAAUAAAACCCAAUUCACUAAAACCAAUUCCUAAUGAGCAGCAAACCCAAUUCCCUGCACAAACGCAUUAACAUUAACCAUAUUUAAUGAAAGAUAAUGUGAUACUACAGAUGAUACACAUUGGCUAGUAGGAAUAGGUUUGAAAAAUCGAAAACCCAAAAAAAUCGAACCGAAGCCAAAGAAAAACGGAAUACCAAACCCACCCUUUGGUUAUGGAAAUCUCAACUCGGUUCAAAAGUCAUAGGAUGUAGUUAACUAUGAUUUACGGCUACUAAGUCAGGUUCAUUAGUUUUGACCUUAAAUAUUUCUUAGAUUCAUACAACUUAUAACUCAAAUGAACGCAUGAAAUUUCAACCAAUCAUCUAUAAACAUACAUAACACCAGCCAUCAAUCAUCAAUCUACAAAUGCAAUUCAAAUUUUAGGAAAACCCUAAAUGGUGGCAACAGAACAAUCAUCAAUCUACAAAUUCUAAUUUAAAAACCCUAAAAUCCCUACACCAGAAAUUCACAUUAAUAACAAAACCUUAAAUCAAAAUUACCUAAAUUUUAGAUGGAUGACAGCGGGGGUGUUGUCGAAGAGGAGAGAAUCGACGGCGGGGGUGAUGGGGUGAUGGCUGGUGAGCACUACGAGGAGGAGGACGAUUCAGAGUUGGAGAGUCGAGGGAAGGGAGUCGAGGGACUGAGAGUCUGAGAGUGAUUCUGGUACUCGGGUGGAAUUGGUUGAGGAGGAUAGUCGGCUGGAGUGAGAGAGAUGAGAGACCGAAAGGCUUUUGGUUUGGGAAGAGAGAUCGAGUGAGAGAGAUGAGAGAGUGGAAGGCUUUUGGUUUGGAAAAUUUGGGAUUUUUUUUUUAAAAAAAAGCGCCUAUUUUUCAUAAUUGCCCCGCCAAAAUAAUGACAAAUAGCUCGACGCAGGUAUACAUUUCGACGUCGCGCAAGAUUUUUUUUUUUUUUUUUCAAAUAUAAAUUUUACCGAAAAUUUACUUAAUAAAUAUAUAUACCUUUGAACUUGAUGGAAUACGCAUUGUACGAAACUAAUUUCAACAAUCCAACCGUCAAAAUUGUUUGUAUAUAUUCCGAUAUCGCAUACGCCAAAAAUUGGAAAAAAAAAACAUCCAAAUAUCAAGUAACAUGACAAAACCUUUUGACGGUUAUAAACGAAAAAUCACGAUUUAACGGUUAUUUUUAACUCCAAUUUGUUGAGUUUUUCCAACUAUACUCCUUUAGCCUAUAUGAAUACAACGAACCAAUUCGAUCGUCAAUUUAAAAUAUUUACACAAGCGGAUACCACAAAAUGUUAUGUUAAACUUAAUGAUAGUAUAAAUAAACUCCAAGUGUUAGGAAAUAUAUCGUUUUGAUGAAAUACGCAUUCUACGAAACUAAUUUCAACGAUCCAACCAUCAAAUUUGUUUGUAUAUAUUCCAAGAUCGUAUACGCCAAAACCUGGAAAAAAACAAACAUCCAGAUAUCAAGUAACGAGACAAAACCUUUCGACGGUUAUAAACGAAAAACACGAUUUAACGGUUAUUUUAACUCCGAUUUUGAUGAUUUUUUAGAGCUACACUCCUUGAGCCUAUAUGAAUACAACGAACCGAUUCGAUCCUCAAUUUAAAAUAUUUACACAAGCGGAUACCACAAAAUGUUAUGUGUAAACUUAAUGAUAGUAUAAAUAAACUCUAAGUGUUAGGGAAUCUAUCGUUUUAAUGAGAUACGCAUUGUACGAAACUAAUUUCAAUGAUCCAACCGUCAAACUUGUUUGUAUAUAUUCCGAUAUCGCAUACGCCAAAAAUUGAGAAAAACAAACAUUCAGAUAUUAAGUAACGGGACAAACCUUUUCGACGGUUAUAAACAAAAAAGCACGAUUUAACGGUAGUUUUAACUCCGAUUUUGAUGAUUUUUUAGAGCUACAUUCCUUGAGCCUAUAUGAAUACAACGAACCGAUUCGAUCCUCAAUUUAAAAUAUUUACACAAGCGGAUACCACAAAAUGUUAUGUUAAACUUAAUGAUAGUAUAAAUAAACUCCAAGUGUUAGGGAAUCUAUCGUUUUGAUGAAAUACGCAUUGUACGAAACUAAUUUCAACGAUCCAACCAUCAAACUUGUUUGUAUAUAUUCCGAGAUCGCAUACGCCAAAAAUUGAGAAAAAAAAACAUUCAGAUAUCAAGUAACGGGACAAACCUUUUCGACGGUUAUAAACAAAAAAGCAUGAUUUAACGGUAGUUUUAACUCCGAUUUUGAUGACUUUUUAGAGCUACACUCCUUGAGCCUAUAUGAAUACAACGAACCGAUUCGAUCCUCAAUUUAAAAUAUUUACACAAACGGAUACCACAAAAUGUUAUGUUAAACUUAAUGAUAGUAUAAAUAAACUCUAAGUGUUAGGGAAUCUAUCGUUUUAAUGGGAUACGCAUUGUACGAAACUAGUUUUAACGAUCCAACCGUCAAACUUAUUUGUACAUGCUUCGAGAUUGCGUCCGCCAAAAAUUGCAAAAAACAAACAUUCAGAGAUCAAGUAACGGGACAAAACUUUUCAACGGUUAUAAAUGAAAAAGCACAAUUUAACGGUAGUUUUAACUCUGAUUUUGAUGAUUUUUUAUAGCUACACUCCUUAAUCCUAUAUGAAUACAAUAAACUAAUUUGAUCAUCAAUUUAAAACAUUUACACAAGUGGAUACCACAAAAGAAAAAGGCAAUACAAGAACCCAAAAAAAAAAAAAAAAACUUUGCGCGACGUAGGUCCACCUGCGUCGCGCAAAGCUAUUAUGCGCGACGCAUGUGUACCUACGUCGCGCAAAGUUUUUUUUUUUUUUUUUUUUUUUUUUUUGCUUUUGCUUAUGAGUACAAAAUAAAUAAAUUAAAAUGUACUUACUAAAUAUAUAUACCAUUGAAUUUGAUGGGAAACGCAUUGUACGAAAUUAGUUUCAACGAGCCAAUGGUUCGGAUUUCGGGUUAAGAAAUCUGAAUGGAAUUUAGAUGGAGGAGAUCUCUGCAAUGUUACUGGUAUCAGAAUGUGUGUGUGUAUAUUGCAUUAUAAUAUAACGUUGAUGCAAGAAAUGGAAAAUUGAUACUUGAAGGGAGUUCUAAUGUAAGUCGUAUAUUAGAUUCUCAAAUCAAAGCAAAGCUGCUAAUCCAGGACUCCAUCCAACCUUUUGGGCAGAUUUGAAAGCAAGAGUUCCACCAAAAGUAAAAGUUUUGGCUUGGACUGGCUCACUGGAGGAUACAUGUGAUAUGAUCCAGGAAAUUGCCUUUUGUGUGUGUUUCACCUCACUGAUGCAUUUUGUGCAACAAAGAGGGCGAAAGGAGUGUGGAUCAUAUGUUUACAACUAUGUGGUGGAGAUUGUAUGGGGUUGACAAUGUAAAUUAGGUCGGAGUUCUGUUUCUUUGCUCCCUGAGAAACAAAGGUAAGGGUAAGAAAGAAAUGGUCUCCUGCAGUGCAUGGUGUUAGUAGUAAUUCAGAUGGAAGGCGGAUAUUUGAGCAAAGUGAAGGUGUGGAGUUGAGGAACUUUGGGAGAAAAUCAAAUUUUGGUUGUUACUUCGGGGCUUUGGUUGCUGGAGAGUUCAAAAAGUUGUCCCUUUUCUAGCAAUUAUUUGGACUGGGGAGAUCUUGUUGAUGAUUAGAAUUACGAAAUUCCUUUGUUGUUAUUCAUAGAUCCAAAAUAAAAACUAGUUGUGUUAACUAAUGUGGGAAUUGGGGAGAGCAAGACAUACAAAAUAAUAACAUUGUUUCUAACGAUUACAGAUUUAGGCAUUAUGGCUAUUCCUAGUAAUUCAAACUUCAAACCUGAUCUGGUAGACGAUUUUGAAGAGAGAGAUGGGCGAUGGAGGUAGUUGCUGCAACUGGGUAUGCAGUUUCUGCCUCCCAAACUGAUCAAAUGAAAAGAAAAAAAAGUUUGUGACUUUGCGCGACGCAUGUCCACCUACGUCGCGCAAAACAACUUUGCGCGACGUAGGUGGGCAUGCGUCGCGCAAAGGUGGGAAAAAGCGGUAAAUUCUAAGGGUUUGGCGCCAAAAGUUUGCGCGACGACGGACUACGUCGCGCAAAGCCGUUUUGCACGACGUAGGUGUACGUACGUCGCGCAAAGCCGUUUUGGGCGACGUAGUUCUUCGUCGCGCAAAGUAACGUCGCGCAAAGCUGUUUUGCACGACGUAGGGGUACGUACGUCGCGCAAAACGUCUUUGCGCGACGUAAUUUAAUGCGUCGCGCAAGUUUUCGUCGCGCAAACAUGUUUUUGUACUAGUGCUUCAAACCAGGUCAGCUUUCAAACUACUAUAUAGGUAUAUGGUACUCCAAGCAAGUAGCAUCUGAGAGCAAGUGGUAUCUGAGAGGACUGUUGUUUGGGUAGCAAAUAGGGAAAUACCAGUGAUAGGGAUUUUACCACGCACGUAACAGUUUUAAAAACUCAUAUAAUACUUGCAAAAAUGACAAAGAUAUUGUAGUAUAAAUAGUUUCCACAUGGAUUAUUAAAUAAUUCGAAACAAACCAAAUUUCAAUUCAUUAUUGUAAAACAAAAAUUGUGAUGAUUGAUUUUCAUGACCUAAUGUAAUAAAACGAAUUUAAUUAAUAAAAGUAAAUCAAUCUGCAAUAUUAAAAAUUGAAUUUUAACGAAAAGCUUAUUGUACAGUUCACUUUAACGAAAAAUCACAUUUUUACACUAAAAAGUCAAUCCUAAUACUAUUCACUUCACCAUUUAUUUUGUUAUUAUCGUUAAAACUCAAAGUUUUCAAGCUCUUUUUAUUAGUUUUCCUUAUUAAAAAUGAGAAAAAAUGAAAUAGUUUUGUAGAAAUCAAAUUAAGAAAGCAUUAAGGAUCCGCCAUCACAUCUAAACAUGCAUGACUCAUUAAGUUUUGUGAAACUUUUUAAAAAAAUCAUACAACCCUUAACACGUAGUAUUCAUCCUAAAUGCACCUGCACAUAUUAAUCACAAGAAAUUUUCGUCAAAAACUCAAGAUAAAAAAACAAUACAAACCGUGGGCCUCAAAAACUCAAAAUAAAAAACAAUCAUUUACUUUUUGUUUUCUUUCUUUUUCUAUUUCUUUUCUCUUUUUUUUUCCUGUUUUUUUCAUUCUUCCUCAUGGGGCUUUCAAAACACGCGCAAGUGCAAAUGGGAAGGGUUCAAAUUGAUUUCAGUAAGAUUGGUUUGUAGCAAUGAUUUUAAGAGAGGUGUUCCCGUCGAUUUAGCAGUAGAAGCAGCUAAUCGACAACUGGGUUGGUGUCGGUAUUGCAGCAACAAUGAUUCGAUGUCGGUUCGUGAGCUACAAGGCACGCGAGCUUCGAUUUGGGUGCGAUGCAGCAGUGGAUCAUGAUAGAUACGGAUCGGUGCGGUGGACUCGGGUCAGCAACGACGGCGUCGCUCGCUGGUCGGACGGCGUAGCACAACUGGUGCGCGACUAGGAGUUUUGUUCUGCGCAUAGGGAACGGCUUUUGGUUUUUUUCUUAACCUAGGCUCUGGUGCCAAGAAGAGAAUGCUUUGAAUGAUGUGUUUAUCUUCUCAGGAAAAGGUAGAAUAUACAAUCUUAAUUCUAACUAAAUAGGGAAGAAUAAUUACAGAAGAUUACAAAGAUAUUUCUCUCAUAUUACUCAUAUUACACGGGGAUCCAUCUUAAAGAGGAAAUUCUAAAUUAUAGGAAUUAUAAGUCAACAAACAAACCAACGUAAGAGUGUGGAUCAACCGACGAAUGCACCAUUCUAACAACGUUAAUAUCAUCAAUUUGAGUCUAAUUACCAUCAAUGUAAGAGUCAGUUUGAUUACAAUUAGCAUCAGUAAGGACAUCAGUUUAAUCUCGAACAAAGCUCCACUGCCAGUUUCGGCAUUAUUGAUCUCCACAACCUUGAAACCCAUGAUUGUGCUGAUUCUUUAUCGGGACGAGCCCAAAAACACAAACAGAAAAAGAAAAAGAAAAAAGAAAAUCAGUUAAACUUGUUUUUGAGAGAGACAACAUGAGUAUGGUAUAUAUACGGAGGACGUACAUAAAAAAUGCGUCCGUUUUCGACGAAUUCAGACAUCGGAAAGCGUCCUCCCUCUGACGCCGCCGUCGCCGUCAAGUGUUGCAGUUUAGCCUCGCUUUACUCCACGGCUUAUCUGUGUCAAAUCGACCGCUACAUCUCCCACAAAAACCCUAAAUCUUUUCAUCAAUUUUCAGUAGCGUACGAUCCGAUGCGCCUCGACACACCUUAAGCCUGUUUUUGAACAAUCUCCGAAAACAGAGCUAGUCAUGGAGGCGCAGAUCCUACUGCGGUGUCAAACGUGGGGGUUUUUCUCUUCUCAUAGUUUUGCCACUAAAAACGUCCACUAAAUUUUCAGAAUUUGGAUUUUUUUUUUUUUUAUGUAUUUUGAUAUUGUUUUGUGAAUUUUUGGCAAUGAAUACAAAUUAUCCGCGCUUCUGAGAGCAAUCGAUGAAGUAGAAUGUGAUAAUCAAUGGUUGAAUUUCUUGAUAUGAGCCAUUUAAGUUUUUGAUUUGCUGAUUUGGGUCGGUGACAUUUUUGGGUUUUGUUGAUUAAUGUUGGCGGUGAUGACUAAAUUUUACAGCUUUAUGCCAGUUCUGCUUCAGAAAAUUCGUGAUUGAGAGAGCUGUUUCAUACUCUGAGCCUUCUGUUUAUUAAUUUGAUUUUGUUUUUCUUUAGUGUUAUGGAUUUCUGUGUUUUUGGUGGUGCCGAUGACGAUUCAAUCCGCUUGUUCGAGGUGCAGUGGAAUUGAGACCCUGUUUACAGGGAGAACCCCUCAGUGAAACUGCGUUCAUAUGAAUUCAAUGGAUUUAGCUGAGGUUUUAAUCUUACUUACCCUCCUAGUAAAAUGUUUUUGUGUUACUUGUUUGGUUUGUUGUCUGUCUAAGAUUAGAUUUGUUGUUUGGUAUGUUAUUAAUUGCUUGUGAUUGGUGUGUUAAAUUUUGGUGAUAUCUUCUUGUCCUUUGGCCUGUGAUGAUUCAAUCCGCUUUUUUGAGGUGUAGUGGAGCUGAGACCUUGUUUACAAGGAGAACCCCUCGGCGAAGCUACAUUGCAUAUGACAUUAAUGGAUUUAACUGAGGUUUUAAGUCUUCAUCAGCAUCAAAAUCCAUUGUUUUUGUCCUAAUUGCUUGUGUUGUUGAAUAUGGUUUAUUAUUUUGUUCGGAUUAAGUAAUGUUUAGGCGUCAAUGAUGUUACAAUCCAACGUGUUUGAGGCGUAGCGGAAGCGAGAACUUGCAUUUGUGCAGGUAGAACCUACUCAUGGAAACUACGAUCCCUUGACAGAAACAAUGUAGCUGAGGCAUUGCAGUCAUGUGGUUUUGUUGUGUAUUGUGUUUAAAUGUUGGUUUUGAGUUUCAACUAUACCCUUAUGGGUCUGAAAUAACUCAUAAAUUAGAGUGUUGUCAUCAGCUUCAUCCUGUGUUACUGGUCAAGACUGGAGUUAAACAACAACACUACAUCUAAUUGCACUAAUUUUGUUUCAUUUAUUUUGUGAUUUGUGUUAAAUUUUAUCUAAUUUUUUGUUGGAAUCGACUCUUGUGAUGAAUUGAUAUGUAUGCUCAAUAGCUGCUGCUGGAUACUUCUAUUAACUGAAUUGGGGUUAAGUAAUUAAUAUAGUGAUAAUAAUUUCUAAAACCUACAGGCCUCACCCUGUCUCCAUGGGGGAGUACCCUAAAAAAAGGAACCCUUCCUCUCCCAGCCGUUUUCAGGGUCGUCCGUGAAUUCUUUGUCAAUGGUUUUGGUUUUUGAAUUGCCCGCUAAAUGGACUCCUUCCUAUCUGUUGUUCCCAGCUGAUCUUUUUGUUGUUGGAGGAUUUAGAUUUUGUAGUGAGUAAUUAGUUUGCAGGAGUACCAAGUGGUACAAACAAGCAUGGAAACAAGAGGAUGAUUGGUGGAGAAAAUGGCGCGUGGAAAUCAUGACCUUGGAUUCGUCAUGUGUGGAUGGGUUUAUGUUGUACCGUCUUUUGAUUGGAAUUCAGACCAAAAAACAGACGUGUGGUAAAUUGGAAUUUGAAAAUUAUCAACGUAUCUCUGUUUUUGUAUCAAUUUUUGUUGGUAAAACUUGUAUGGAUUGGAAAAGAUUAUGAUAAUUUGUAUCGAGCAUGAGUGCUUAGUUUGGUACAUUAGCCUGCAGUCGACGCAAUCUAACUUGAACAUGUCCUUAUUGUAACACAUACCUCCAUCUCUUCUCGGGUUUUGGAUAUGUGAUGCCUCCAGGGUUUGCACAUUGUAUACAGUGGAGUAUUGAUGAAUUUGAACAGAAGCGUAAUACUAGGAGAAGCUUUUGACAGAGGAAGGACAAUGUACAAGCUAGGAACUGCGUGUGAUGGGUUGAACAGUUGACUUAAUGCAUAGAAUUUUCUACAAAGUACAAAGUCUAAUGUGCCGGCUAGGAACUGUCUGAUGGGUUGAAUAGUUGACUUAAGGGCAUAUAGGUUAAGUUCCAGUAACAUCCAUACGGUAAAUCAUUGCCUGCCUGCUGAAUUCUUUGUACAGCCAUGGAUACCAAACCAAACUCAAAGUUCGUGUUCUCCGUUAUUUUAGUGUGUGUAUUUCUCGAGUCCCAUGUUUCCCUAGCAGCUGACACUAUCAGUGAAAACCAAUCUCUCUCCGGCGAUCAAACCAUUGCUUCUGCUGGUGGGAUGUUUGAGCUAGGUUUCUUCAAACCAGGUCAGCUUUCAAACUACUAUAUAGGCAUAUGGUACUCCAAGCAAGUAGUAUCUAAGAUGACUGUUGUUUGGGUAGCAAAUAGGGAAAUACCAGUUUCUGAUAUAUUUUCUUCGGCAUUGAGCAUCUUAGAUGGUAACUUAGUUCUGUUUGACGAGUCCAAAACCCCGGUUUGGUCAACAAAUUUAAACUCCACCACCAAUUCUGGUUCUGUACAAGCAGUUCUUUUGGACAGCGGAAACCUUGUCCUGAAAGCGGGCUCUAGUAAUAAUACACUAGAGCCUUUAUGGCAAAGCUUUGAUCAUCCAACUGAUACUUUGCUACCAGGAGGUAAAUUUGGAUUCAACAAAAUUACAAAUCAUUCCCAAAUUCUGACUUCAUGGAAGAAUUUGGAGGAUCCUGCACCAGGUCUUUACUCUCUUCACCUAGCCCCAGAUGAAGGCGAUUCAUGUAUCUAUUUGUGGAAUAGGUCUAGACAGUAUUGGACCAGCGGACCAUGGAAUGAAAGUUUGCGUAAUUUCAACAUGGUUCCUGAAUUGAGGCUAUUUAAUGACUUCAAUUAUAGUUCUGUUAGGAAUGAGAACGAAAGUUAUCUCACAUAUUCUAUUAACAAUCCUAAAAUUGUAACUCGAAGCUUGAUGACUGCCUCGGGACAGGUUCAGCAACUAACAUGGUUGGAGGCUUCCAAGCAGUGGAAUGUGUUUUGGUCUCAACCAAGACAGUGUGAUGUUUAUGCUUUUUGUGGGGCUUUCUCCAGUUGCAAACCUACAUCCUUGAACUACUGCAAAUGUUUGAAGGGCUUUGAGCCAAACCGGCAGAGUGAUUGGGACUUGCAGAUUUAUUCUGGUGGAUGUUCAAGAAGAACCAGUGUGAAGUGUGGGAAUGCUACGGGAGACGGGUUUCUAGAAAAAAAUAGCAAGUCCUUGCUUGAAAAUAGCCAAAAUGAACGCGCUCUUAGUUUUGAAAGUUGUAGAUCAGCUUGCUUAAAUGAAUGCCAGUGCACUGCUUAUGUUUAUGACAGCAGCAAUGGAUGUUCAAUAUGGCAUGGAGAUGUCUUGAAUCUGCAAGAAUUUGAAGCAAAUGAUGGUGAUGGAAGAAUUUUAUACAUCAGAGCUGCAGCUUCCGACAUUGAGAAAAAACGUAAUAAGAGAAUGAUUAUUCAUGUCUUACUUGGAGCCGUUAAUCUUAAUGUUAUCCUGAUGAUCGUUUUCUUCUCUUUGCAGGUGUAAUUAAGUUGUCCCCUUUGAUUGCAAUAGUCUCAACAAUCACAGGUUUGCUUGUUGUCAUUUUUGGCUAUUUCUUAUGGAAGAAAACAUUGGGAACAAAAAGUAAAGUUGCGGCUGGAGGUGAAAUGAAUGAUGCAGAACUGCCGAUCUUUGGUUUAAGGGCUAUAAUAGCAGCUACAAACAACUUCGCUGAAGCUAAUAAACUCGGAGAGGGAGGAUUUGGCCCUGUCUACAAGGUGACACUUCCACUGUGUAUUCUAAAUACUAAUACAUUUGUCUCCUCAUGCACACACCUUGUUUAUUUAUGACAUUUGGAUUGAAUAAUUCCAAGGAGAUGAAUCACGGGACAAAGUACACAUGGGUGUGCAGAAGGAGAAAAAAGGGUGUCUGAAAAUAAUUUCUCCUUUCAUAAACAUGACCGUUCUUUUGUACUUCUCUAACAAUAUUUUCUCUUGAGCGAUUUUCUUCCUCUAUACAGGGAAUUUUGGCUGAAAAUCAAGAAGUAGCCAUAAAAAGGUUAUCAAAAAAGUCAGGCCAAGGACACCAGGAGUUCAUGAAUGAGUUAAAACUUAUUGCCAAGCUCCAGCAUACCAAUCUCGUUAGGCUCCUGGGUUGCUGUAUUGAAGACGAGGAAAUGAUAUUGAUCUACGAGUACAUGCCCAAUCGGAGCUUGGACAAACUUUUGUUUGGUAUAUACAUGCUAAUGACUUAUUAAUUCUUUGUUUCUGCACAUUGUUUUCCUUGUGUGCAAAUGCCAUGUACUGCAAGUUCAAAUGCACUGUGUCCAAAUAUUUUAUCUAAAAUGAAAAGAAAAACACUUGCUCAUCUUUCUUCAUGGUUUGUCCAAUCAGAUGCACCUGAAAAAAGAGAAUUAGAUUGGGGAAGACGUUUUCGAAUUAUAGAAGGCAUUGCUCAAGGAGUACUUUAUAUCCACAAGUACUCGAGAUUGAAAAUCAUCCACAGGGACCUAAAAACAAGUAACAUAUUGUUGGAUGGAGUCUUGAACCCCAAAAUUUCAGACUUUGGAAUGGCAAGGAUUUUCGGGAUAAAUCAGACUGAAGCGAAUACCAAUAGGGUUGUUGGCACAUAGUAAGUCUGCAUAUAUCUGGUACAUGUUUUCAUUGAAGUAAUGUUCUAUUGCUUACUUCUCUACAUAUUGUCAAUUCAUGUGCAGCGGCUACAUGUCACCCGAGUAUGCGAGAUAUGGUCAUUUCUCUGAGAAAUUAGAUGUAUUCAGCUUCGGAGUGGUGUUGUUGGAGAUUGUCAGCGGAAAGAAGAAUGCUGCUUUUUAUCUCUUUGAACAUUCACCAACUCUUGCUGGAUGGGUAAGUGCUGAAAAACUAUUCCAACUCAUGAUCAUUCUGUUUUUAAGCCUUUCAAAUUCACAAAUGACCAUGCGUUCAACAUUUUAAUUAGGCAUGGGACUUGUGGAAAGACGGAAGAGGAAUGGAGGUGAUUGAUGAAUCGGUAAGGGAAACAUGUCGGCUCGAUGAAGCUUUGAAGUGUAUCCAUGUAGGGUUUUUGUGUGUUCAAGAAGCUCCAGCUGAUCGACCAACAAUGUCUUUAGUAAUUCGUAUGCUGCAGGGCAAUGAAUCUACAUCUCUUCCACCUUUCAAAGAACCUGCCUUUUCAACACACAGAAAUUCCAGUCCUGUUUGUUCUUCUCAAACACCUACCAUUUUUUCCCACAACACAGUCACCAUGAGUUUGCCAGAAGGUCGAUAGGCGUUGGAAGAGCGGUGACUGGCAAGCAGUUGAGAAAAUAGUAUAGUAUAUUAGAAUAAACACCCCGACAACUAGCUGUUUUAUACAACACUUAAAGGGUUCAAUAUGUAUUUUCUAAAAUGUAAAGUCUAAUAUGCCAGCUAAGGAACUGUAUGUGAUGGGUUGAAUAGUUGACUUAAGGGCUUAUAGGUUAAGUUCCAGUAACUUGCAUACGUUAAAUCUUUGCCUGCCUGCUGAAUUCUUUGUGCAGCCAUGAAUACCAAACCAAACUCAAAGUCCGUGUUCUCCGUUAUUUUAUUAUGUGCAUUUCUCGAGUCCCAUGUUUCCUUUGCAGCUGACACCAUUAGCGAAAACCAAUCUCUCUCUAGGCAAUCAAACCAUUGUUUCUGCAGGUGGGAUGUUUGAGCUAGGUUUCUUCAAACCAGGUCAGCUUUCAAACUACCAUAUAGGCAUAUGGUACUCCAAGCAAGUAGUAUCCGAGAUGACCGUUGUUUGGGUAGCAAAUAGGGAAAUACCUUGGUAUCUGAUAGAUUUUCUUCUGUGUUGACCAUCUUAGAUGGUAAUUUAGUUCUCCGGAACAUGUCCAAAAACCCGGUUUGGUCAACAGAUUUAAACUCCACCACCAGUUCUGGUUCUGUACAAGCAGUUCUUUUGGAUAGCGGAAACCUUGUCUUCAGAGCCGGCUCUAGUAAUAAUACGUCAGAGCCUUUAUGGCAAAGCUUUGAUCAUCCAACCCAUACUUGGCUACCAGGAGGUAGACUCGGAUUCAACAAAAUUACCGAUCAUGCCCAAAUUCUCACUUCAUGGAAGAAUUUGGAGGAUCCUGCGCCAGGUCUUUACUCUCUUAAGCUAUCUCUGGAUGAAAGCAAUUCAUAUAUCUUACUGUGGAAUAGGUCUAAACAGUAUUGGACCAGCGGAUCAUGGGAUGAAAGUUCACAUAUUUUCAACGCUGAUUCCUGAAAUGAGGCUAAAUUAUAUCUUCAAUUAUAGUUAUGUUACGAAUGAGAACGAAAGUUAUUUCACAUAUUCUCCUAAGAAUCCUAAAAUUGUAUCUCGAUACUUGCUGUCUGCCUCGGGACAGAUUCAGCUAACUAACAUGGAUUGGAGAAUUUCCAAGCAGUGGGAAUUUGUUUUGGUCUCAACCAAGACAGUGUGAUGUUUAUGCUUUUUGUGGGGCUUUCUCCAGUUGCAAACCCACAUCCUUGAACUACUGCAAAUGUUUGAAGGGCUUUGAGCCAAACCAGCAGAGUGAUUGGGACUUGCAGAUUUAUUCUGGUGGAUGUUCAAGAAGAACCAGUGUGAAGUGUGGGAAUGCCACUCGGGAGACGGGUUUCUAGAAGUAAAUAGCGGGUCAUUCCCUGAUAAUAGACAAUAUGAAGGUUUUCUAAGUAUCGAAAGUUGUAGAUCAGCCUGCUUAAAUGAAUGCCAGUGCACUGCUUAUGGCUAUGACAAUGGAUGUUCAAUCUGGCAUGGAGAUGUCUUGAAUCUGCAUGAAGUUGAAGCAAAUGAAGGUGAUGGAAGAACUCUAUACAUCAGAGCCGCAGCUUCUGACAUCAAGGAAAAACGUAAUAAUAGUAAUAAUAGAAUGAUUAUUCGUGUCGCAAUUAGUGAUCAUUAUUUUGGCGCCAUUAUCUUUAUGUUGUCAACAAAAUCUUCUUCUUCUCUUUGCAGGUGUAAUUAAGCCGUCCCCUUUGAUUGCAAUAGUCUCAACAAUCACUGGUUUAAUUGUUGUCAUUUUUGGCUAUUUCUUAUGGAAGAAAACUACGGGAAAGAAAAGGUACUGCUACCACCGAUCUCAUCUCUCUCUCUGUCUUUUUCUUUCAAACGUGUUCUAACACUAUGACUAAAACAGAGAGCAUAAGAAGAACCAUAAUGAGAGUAAAAGUAAAUUUGAUGUUGGAGGUGGAAAGGAUGAUGCAGAACUACCGAUCUUCGGUUUACGGGCUAUAGUAGCUGCUACAAACAACUUUGCUGAAGCUAAUAAACUCGGGGAGGGAGGAUUUGGCCCUGUUUACAAGGUGACACUUCCACCAUGUGCUUUAAAUACAAGUACAUUUUUCUUCUCCUGAACACCUUUGUUUAUUUCUGACCUAAACAAAUAUCCAAGGAGAAUUAAGGGACAAAAAUAAAUAGGAGUGUGCAGGAAAAAAAAAAGCUGUGCAAAAAUCAUUCCCCCUUUCGAAAAUAUGAUUUUUUUUACUUUGAACUUCAAAAAAUGUUUUCUCUUGUGCGCUUUUCUUCCUCUGUACAGGGAAUUCUGGCUGAAAAUCAAGAAGUAGCCAUUAAAAGGUUAUCAAAAAGGUCAGGCCAAGGACACGAGGAGUUCAUGAAUGAGUUAAAACUUAUUGCCAAGCUCCAACAUACCGGUCUCGUUAGGCUCUUGGGUUGCUGUCUUGAAGAUGAGGAAAUGAUAUUGAUCUACGAGUACAUGCCCAAUCGGAGCUUAGACAAACUUUUAUUUGGUAAAUACAAGCUUAUGACUUAUUAAUUCUUUGUUUCUGCAAAUUAUUUUCCUUGUGUGCAAAUGUCAUCUACUGCAAGAUGCACAUUAUGCACUGUGUCCAACAUUUUAUCUAAAAUGAAAAGAAAAACACUUGCUCAUCUUUCUUCGUGGUUUGUCCAAUCAGAUGCAUCUGAAAAAAUUGAACUAAAUUGGGGAAGACGUUUUCGAAUUAUAGAAGGCAUUGCUCAAGGAGUACUUUAUAUCCACAAGUACUCGAGAUUGAAAAUCAUCCACAGGGACCUAAAAGCAAGUAACAUAUUGUUGGAUGGAGACUUGAAUCCCAAAAUUUCAGACUUUGGAAUGGCAAGGAUUUUCGGGAUAAAUCAGAUUGAAGCAAAUACAAAU